rnacentral:lncRNA from 1 species
AAUUACAUUUUUCUCCCCCCAUCCCCCAAACUAAUUAGACUUUCAUUUGAGAUUGUGGGAAUAUUACGUUACAUGCGGUGAGAAAAUACGAUUAGAAAAAUACUAUAUUUGUUUCCGUACGUAAUAUUACGUUCUGCAUAUCGAGAUAAGUCAGUUAUGAUAUAUAUUUUGCGAUUCCACCAAAGAAUACAGAAGUAUAUCCCUAUAUAUUUUUACCCUAACUCCAUUUUAUCUAGCCUCAAUCGCCAAACUAAGCUUUAAACGUGUAGAUAUAUAAGGUUAAAUACUUUUGUUUUGUUUCUAAAGGGAAUUAAUACAAAAACUAGUAUUUAUUGUUUGUUGUGAUUUUUUUUUUUUUUGUUGAGAGAGAAAAGUGGUAUACAUCUGCUUCAUUUUUUUUUCAAUAAAUAAUUUAAAUAAAAAUAUAAAAAACUAGAAAAACAGCCAAUAAUCUUUUUCAACACUCGCAUCAUUAAUAAUGCAAUAUGUGGUAAUUAACCCAAGUCACUAGUUACGAUAUCAUGACUUAUGAAUCGCAAGCGCUAUAACCAAUUAUUCCAUCCCCUCGAAUCGACCUAAGUCAACUUAUCUGAAUGUUAAUUAGUUGAUCUACUAUUGGAUAUCUUGCCGUUAAGUCUCUAUUGUGGACCGUAGCUCUACUUAGCUUAUUGGACUCAUCUAACUUGACUUAUUAGUCUCUUGAGUAUAUUAUCAUGAGACAGAAGAUUAGAUCUAUCUUAACUAAUAAUAAAUAACCAAUACUUUUUGUUACCUAAGUUAGGAAUGAUUGGUAUUGUGAUGAAUUUAUAUUAGUUCUCUUUAUACUUAUUUAUUUCAAACAUUACCAAUUUAUUAAUUUCAAGUAUUACCCUACUCAUUAAUUACACAACCAUUUUUUCGAAAUGCACCAGCUAUUUAAUUAAAACUUUUCUAAUCAUGUUAGUAAACUAUUGUAGAAAAUGAGAGGUUAAGUAUCUCUUAAGCUUAAUUAAGUGGGAAGGAGAAAUCAAAUUAUAAGAGUACUAGGCUAUAGUUAUAUAUAUUUUUAGGCCGUUUCUUAAUAGAUAGACCUUUUAGGUACCGUAAUAUAUAUCGAAACCAUUUCUAAUUAAGCUCUUGUCCUUUCAUGAGAUCGUGGAUUUGAUGUUUUUUAUCUUUAACAUUUCUUAGACUUUAUAUAAUUCAUAUAUCUUUUAUAUUUAUCAUAUAUACGAGUGGAGAAAAAUAUAGCAAUGUGUAGAUCCCGAAAAGACAAUAUAUGUAAGGGGGGUUAAUUAGCCUUUGGUGAACAACACCACUCUUCAACCUAACAUAUAUAUCGCCAACAACAUAAUUACCAUUUAUACAAUAACGACUAAAAUCACCACCGAAUAUAUAACAUGUCACCACUUUAUUUUUACCAUCUUAUAUUCAAAAUCAUUAACCUAAGAUAAUAAUAAUUAAUAUCUUUAAUUAUUUAAUUUUUUUUUUUUUGAGGGACAACAUGCCGUGAGGCAAUUUUAUUUAAUUAAUAAGUGGAUACAGACCGAGAAUAUUCAUCAAUAGAAGACCAGAAAGAAAACUUUUUACUUGCGAGUCCCUAAGUGGCUAGGCGAUACGCAACUAUAGCAUAUUUAGAAAAUCUUGAAUUUCAUCCGAAACUGACGUAAUUGAAUCUCUCUGUAAAAGUCCAUAAUUCCAUGAUUCUUAUCCGAGCUUCAGGUGUUAGCGAAUUUGAGUGAUAAUUCCUAGGGUGCAAAGCUUUGAUACUGGAUGCUGAAUCUGAGAAGAUAUGAAAAGUUUCUCCAUGAUACAUUUGCAAAAGAAGCUUUGCCACUCGGAUGAUUGCUCCAAUUUCGGCCGAGCAGGCAUCUGGAUCACCUUUAUUGCGUCAGAUAUACAUGCGAUGGUGCCAUGCUGAUUAGUAAUCAGGCAUCCUACACCACCUUCAGUAUUGCCUUUCCAACUCCCAUCUAUCCACACAUGAAAGGAAGAGAUUAUAGGUUCUUGAAUCAAAGUUGGGUCCUGUAUGUUGAUUCGCGUCAUGUUAUUGUUGGAGUAUAAGGCCGUACAGCGAGUGAGAAAUUCUUCUCCUUAAAGAUCAUCCAUUCCUUUUCUUCUACAAGCUCUAUAACAAAUGAACACACAGAAGGCCUUAUGAGUCUUCAUAACUUUGUUGGUUAGGAUGAAAAAUAUCCAUAACAAUUAAUAUAUUUCUUUAGUUUAAGACUAAUAUAUAUUAAAUUAUUAAAAUUUCAAUUUAAUUAAUUUUUUGAUUUGAUUUGUUAUUUUUAAAAUCAGAUCGAAUUGAAUUAUAUAUAAAACCACAACGAACCGACUGAUUUCGACCGAUUCAAUUUGAUAAUUCAGUUUGAAUCGAAUAAUGGUCACCUUGGUUAAAAAUUUAUUGAGUGGAGCCCAUAUAUAUAUUUUUUUAUCAUGAACUGCGCAAAGCAAAGAUAACUUGCAUUUACACUCCCCAGUCCCAAAACAAGUAAGCACAUUUAACCACUGCAGAAAAAAAACUGAGCUUCAAAAAAAAUAAAAUAAAAAAGUUUUUUUACCACCCUAAAAUGUUUUUACAAACAAUAAUUAAAAAAAAAAAGAGCAUAAAAAAAACCCCCCCAAAAGCAAGUUUUUUUUUAAAAAAAACAUAUCGAAUCACGAGAAAGAACCGUAACCACCACCUUUUACUUUCGUGUUAUUAUUAUUAUUAUUAUUAUUAUUAUUAUUAUUAUUAUUGGUUUUUAACCUCUUUGUCCAUUGACUGAGUGCUUCUAAUCAUAUUCCUAGUGGCCAGCGCUUUUUCCAAAGAGCCCCCUCCUAUUUAAGAGCAUUACCACCCCACCCCCCCCUCGCACACAAUUAAAGCAUGUGAAUUGGAGAGAGUGCUUGCUCCUUAGUCCUCAGACAUGAUGUCUCUGGAAAACUAUUCUCUCCGCCCCCUACAACAACACCACCACUCCUUAGAUUGGGAUCUACACAGCAACAUUAAUGGAGUCGAGUAUUUCCAUGAACUCAUUCCUUUGGGUAUGAUCACAAACUCAAUUACUUCUAUAUAAAGAUUUUCUUUUUUUUUUUUUGAUAUUGUAAGUUUUCGCUGCUCUUUAAUUCCAACAAUACUAUAUACGUACUCUAAGUGUGUAGUUUAGGUGUCAUUUGCUUUGCAUGGUGGGUUUAUGUGAUUGUGUUUGUGUAGAUUGGGAGUCUCCGAUGUCGUCGGAGGCGUCCACCGGGUACCUGCAAGACGCGGUGGCCGAAUGGGAGGACCGGUGCAAGCGGCGGAGAACGACGGCGGCGGUGGCGGUCGCAGCGGCGGUGCCGCAUCGCGAUUGCACUUCGGUUGGGAUGAAUGAAGAGCUCCUGGAUCUUCUUCAAGUAAAUAUUUCCCUGCUUUGAGAUUCAUAAUUUGAAUUUAAAUUGAGGAGGGAGAUUUUUGAAUUUGAUAUACAUUUUCUUUCCUUUUCUAUUUUUCCUUUUUUUGCAGAAUUUUUGGGAUUCUAGCAACCAUGAUGAUCAUCAUCCUUUGGAUGGUUUGAAUUGUGUGAGCCAAGAGAAAUUUGCUGGUACAGGUAAAUUUUUGAAUUAAUUUAGAAUUUUUUUUCCCCUCAUUUUCCUUUUCUUUUUCUUUUUCUUUACUUUUUUUAUUCACUUUUCUACUCUUCAGUAGUUUUGGCUGAUUUUUUAAUUUUUCCUUAUAUAUAUAUAGUAUGGAUUAGUAAUAAGACAACGUAAUUAUUAAUGUUUGAAUUAUAAGAAAUGUGUCUCAUAGCUGUCACAUGUGAGGCCCACCAAUUUAAUUAUAUAUGUACAUAUAAAUAAGGGCCAGGCCAAAACCAAAUUGUCAAUGGUUGAACAUAUAUAGCUAACUAAGCCAUAAUUAGUGCAUAAUUUUAGCAAGUUAAUUAACUAGCUAGCUAGCUAGGAGUCAAACUAUACAUUCUUAAUGUUUUUUAAUUAGUUCUUUAAUUUUCAUUAACAAAUCCAUAUGAAAAGCAGGUGAUUAAAGUAUGCAGUUGUUUUAUUUGCCACAACUUUUGCUUAAAUAUUGUUAAUUAUCAGAUCAUGAUGCUGCAAAUCCCAAGCUUUUAUCAUUGAAGGGCCACACCAUGCAACAAGUGUCAGGGAAAAAGCUCCAAGAAGAGAGAGGAGGAGCUUCACCACCAAAUCCCAAAGAAAAAGAUACCAACUAUGCUUCUGUAGAGUCAAAUUCUACUCAUCCCUCCACACUCAAAUAUUUGGCACCAAGAGGUAAAACAAUAAUUGUUGAUUACUUAUAAUUAAAACACCGUUCUAUGAUAGAAGAAAUAUUGCCUACACUCGGUGCGUGCGUAGCUGAUCUAUGUGGUGCACUAGGGGUAGGCAACUGGAUAAUGACAUUAGAGCAGGAGGUUCUGAAUUUGAAUUUCUUUAUGUUUGUCUCGGCUCUCUCGGCAGGGAGCGAGAGCCAGAGGUGUAAGAAAAAGAAAGGCACGGGGGUGGCGUAUCCGUUCGCGGUGGUGAAGCCCGGCGGGCUGGAGGGGGACGUGACGCUGCACGACAUCAACGAGAGGAUCCUCAUGCGGCCCGCCCGACCCGUCCGGCACCCGGUCGGGGAGUUUGCGCCCGGCCCGUGCGUGUCGGCCCGCGGGCCGGGUUUGUCCGGCAAAGCUGUAGUGAGCCUCACCAGGAUCCAUACAAGAGGGAGGGGCACUAUUACAAUUAUCAGAACAAGAGGAUAAACCUUUUCCCCUUUUUUUCCCCCUUUUUGCAUUGAUAUAUACAUGUAUAUUUAAGAUAUAUAUAUAUAUAUAUAUAUAUAUAUAUAUAUAUAUAUAUAUANAUGUAAAUACUACCUCUUAUAUAUUUCCCUCUUGCAAUAAUAUAUAUUGCUAUUUCAUACGUACACUAUUCUUUCUUUUUAUUUCCUUUACUUUUAUUAAGAAUAUAUCGCGAGAGCCAAAUUUUACACACAUUAAUUAACACUUAAAAGUCUCUCCAAAUAUACGCGCUAAAUUUAUAUUGAAAAAAUAACAAUAAUACCUAAAUUCAUAUGACAAUGCUAAUAAACUAUGAUUCGUAUAGUUAUAAACCAACUAAGAUUUAAGUGGUGGACCUUUUUUGCGAAUUUGCUUAAGAAGGGAAGUUAAUCAAUUAUUUGCAGUACGUAAUUGAUAUUAUUAGCAGAGAAAAAUAAGCCCAUGCAUGUUAUUUGCUUCUAAUAAUCGCUUUUUCCUUGAAAAAUAAAAUCUUAUAUAUAAAUAAUUAAAAAAAAGAUGAAAUGAGUUUUAAAAUAUCAAAGCAGGACUAAAUUGAAAUAAUCUCUUGCUAGCUUUAGAGCAAACUUGAGGCAAUUCAAAUUAAAGGGCUCUGGAUACCAUGAUUUCUUUUUCUCUUUUUUUGCACUAUACUCCCUGUAGGAUAUUACAAUUACAUUGCAAGGAUUACUUUUUCUUUUCUUAGUUUUUUUUUUUUUAUUUGCAUGUUAUUUCAUGAGAAAGAAAAUAAAAAAGCAAAGGAAAUGAGAGAAUGACAACACGAACCCUAUACUGUCAUUGGCUCCAAAGAGGCCGAAAUACUUUGCUGUGUGAUUUGACUAGAAAAUAGAAUCUAGCUAGUCAAAAAAAAAAAAAAAAAAAAAAAAGAACUUUAUUUUUUGGAAAUUAGUGUAAAAUUGCUCGUUGUUUAGCACUUGAAUAAUUAUUAAUUUUCAUCUAAUUUAUGUCAAAAUAUUUAUGAGCUUCUAUUUUGUGUAUAUGUGUUUUAAUCUAUUUAAUGAACCGCACAGAAAAUUAAUCAUCUUAUGUUUUAGAAUCAAAAAUAAUUUUGAAUACCAGUGGAAUGAAUUUUUAAUCCAUUUAAUGAACUGCACUGGAGAUGCACAGACAGAAAAGAAGUGAAAGUUUAACCUUCGUCGUUUAUCAAAUUUCUAAAUUGAGAUAUCAAAUGAUGCUGGUGAAUAACAGGGGAAUAAAUUUUGAAUCUUACGACACAAUAAAAUAAAUAAUAGUUUUUGAAAUUUAUGGGAUUCUAAUCAUUUUUGGUUGGUGUGAUCUUUUCAACUAUGGUCAAAUUAUUAGGAAACAUUAAUAUAUAUAUACACACACACAAGUGAACAUAGGAACCACGCACACUUUAUAAAAGCAUGCUUUAACAAAGAGUGGAUCGAGAUGAUCAUCAGUAGAAGUGGAUUUGACUCAAUUGGAUUUAAAUUAAUAAAUUAGCAAUUCAAAUCCCAACAAAGAACAAUUUGCAUAGCACGUUUUAGUCAGUGCAAGGACAUACUAAUUCCUUUUCUUUUUUUUUCUUUUUUAUUAUAUUAUAUGGUUUUGAGCCAAAUUUUAAAAAAAAAAUAGUUUAUACCUAGUAAAGUUUCGGGUGUACCGUUUCCUUUUAGAUUCUAUGACAAAAAUAAUUGUGUGAGCACCUCAUUAGGGGUAGCCCCAACUCCCAAAGUGUGAAAUAUGUCCCAUGCAUGUUGUCGCACCUGCACAAACUAAUAUAAAAGUAAGGGUUAAUUUUAUAUAACUUUAUGUAAACAUAUCAAAUAGUAAAAAUAUAUAUUUCUAUAAAAUUUAAUAUUUCAUACAAAUAUUUACUAAUAUUUAUAUUUGUCUCUUUGUUUUGUUAUAGUUAGAGUAGUGUUUAUUUUUUAAUAGAAGAUAAGUAAAAUAACAUUUUUGUAAUCACACAAAUAUGUCGCCCCAAAAAUCGCAACUGACGGCCGUUUUUCUUCCUUUCUAACAUCACAAAUAAUAUAAGAGAAAGUAAAAAGGUCAAUUUACCUCAUUUACUAAUCAGGGUUUAAUAUUUUAUCUAUUGUUUACUAUAAUUUUCUAAUGGAUCCUAACAACUGAGAUAUAUUUAAAAACAUUAAGACUUUUGAAAAGAUAAAUAUGAAAAAUUGAACUUUAUAAGGAUAUAUCUGCUAUUUGAUAUGUUUAAAGAGAGUUAUAUAUAAUUAACCCUAAAAAUAAUAUAUAAUAUAUUUUUUAAAAUUUAAAAAUAUUUAAUUUAUUUCUAAAGGACCAAAAUAUUUUUAUUGAUUUUAAUAAUUUUCUUCAAAUAUCCACAUUUUUUUUGCAAGGGCUUACUAAUGGAAUUAAAUUUUAGAAUAAAUUUGAAAAUUUUGAAUAGCAAUAAAAGGAUAAACAAGCAAAAGCUUUGAUUGAUAUAUGGUGUAAAUUUGCUCUUUCCUUUUGAAAAGCCAAAGUACAUUAAAAGUCUAUUUAGUCCAACUGGAGCUUAAUCAGAAGUACUCUCUUUCAAAUUAAUAAUAAUUCUACUUUGGAAAUAUAUAAUUUUUUUUACUAAUUUAAAUGUUGUUUGAUUAAACAGGUUAGGUACUGAUUCAAAUUAUGAGCCAUGAAGAGUUAGGAGCCCAAUAAAAUUGAGAAGAAAAAAAAAAAGGCAAGAUCACUAGAUCAGAUCACACCAACUACACAUGCAAUUAAUCAAUUAGGAAGGAAAUCAAUAGCCACAUAUAUAUAAUAAAUGGUCCAAUCAAGGCAUCAACUUUUUAGGAAGGGAAAAGAGAUGGGGGCCAUCAUCUACCAAAGAAAAUUAAUUGACAUGAACAGGAGAGCACAGCAAACAUUUUGCCUUGCCUGCUGCCCCACAGAUGGGAAUAGAUAUCAAAAGCAGGUUGCUGUCUGCUCUCCCCCAAAGUCAAGCUGGUUUGAACUUACCAGGCAAGGGAUGGGUCCCAGGAUUAAGUGUCAUUAUACAUUUGAUAUUUUGGAUUCGUUAUCCAUGAUUGAAUUGAAUAAGAUAUGAAAAAUAAUAAUAACAAUAAUAAUAAUACUGUAUUUUGUUGGACGGGAGCAAACAGGUCCAACAAUUAACUUGAGUAAAAGUUUAGUGACGUGUCUCGACAAGACUUAGAUACGAGCGGUUAUAUAUAUAUAGCACUCAGCUUUACUUUGAGAUGCGCAACGAGUUUUACCUGACGCAUAUAUCUGAUCGGUCACUGAAUUUUUGUUCAAACUUGAGUAAGAAAUCACUCAAUUCGAAGCUCUAACGAUCGGCUGAAAGUUUAGUGAGAUGUGUCUUAUUGAAACGCUCAAGUUUAUUGGAUAGUAUUCAAUCCUGCUUUGAGAUUUGCACAAAGUGUCAUAAGAUAAUUUUGAUAUGAGUGAGAUAGUUUAUAUUAAGUUUUGUUCCAACAACUUGGAGGAAUCAGAAACCCCAUAAAGCAUAUAUUAGAUCAAACCAAAUUAUCCCAUCACAUGGAACUCCAAGUUGUGGUUGCAAUGCCUAAAAUGCCUUGAAUACUAAAUUUGUCAAAUAACGAAACUUUUUAUUUUUAUGUUUUUAUUUUCUAGACUUUUAAGCAAACUUUUAAUUUUAAAAGGACAUUGAAUAUUUAAUAAUAUUUUAUUUCAGUCCCUAAAAUUGUAAAGUAUUUUAUUUUAGUCCUUGUCAUAAAGUAAACAAUUAUUUCUUGCACCCAGUUUUCUUGUAUAUUUGUACAAUAUAAAUUUAUUGCUUCUUUAUCUCUAUCAUAUACAUACUUUUAAAUUCAAUGAUAGAAUUUGUAAUAGAAUAGAGAUUAUAUCUCGAAUUUGUAGUAAUUCUAUCAUAACUUUAUGGUCUAGCUAGGAUCAUUCUAAACUUAAAAGUUUAAACUACAUGGUUCAAAUUUAGACUUUCAAACUUUGAUAAUUAAUUAGAUCUUCUAUUUUAUAAAAUAGCUCAAUUGGUUGUUUGGUACACAUGAUAUGAGUUUGCAAAUUAAAAAGGAAGAAAUAUAGGGAUUUUUUUUUUUUUUGAGAGAUAGGUAGUACACUACCCGCUUCGUUUAUUUCAUUUAGAAAUAAACUUAGCUGGAAAUGUGAAUCAACUAGGAUUCGAACUUGGAACCUCGAGUACCAAUCACCAAACCCUUUGCCACUUGCUCUAAGGACGGUCGGUGAUAUAUAUGGAGCAUUGCCUAAGAUACACUACCAACAAGGAAGGGAAAUUCAACUCUCUUUUUUACAUUUAUAACCAAUUAUUAACCUAUUCAAUGGUUAAGAUUUGUAAAGACGUUUUUGUCUCCUGUCGAUCCACGAUCCAAAUUGACUUAUUUGCGAAAAAAAUCAAGUACAAGAGUAAAUGUGAUACCGUCCUUGAAAUUAAUGAAUAAAUUCAUUACUCAUUCAAUAAAUAUUAGUUUUGAAAUAAGCGUAUCUCCUAAUUUUUCUAUAAAUUAUUUUUUUAUUUUCUUAAAAUGAGUUAUGAUAAUGUGUAUCUUUUAGCCUCUCUAAAAGUGUCUUUUAGUAUCUUUAUGAAAUUAAUGAGUGAGUUAAUAUCUAGUAAAGUGGAAAGAUCACUAAAGAGCCUGUAAAUGUGUAAUAAUUAAUUUCAUGAUGAAAAAAAUAAAUGAAGUUGACUUGCUUCUUCUAUCUCUUAGAUGGAUUUUUUGUGAGAGAAAAAUGUUGAUCAACUUUCGCGUUGACGGAUUCCGUGUUGUGGUUGCUCGAGUUCGACGUGGUUGCUAGAUUCUACGACGGAUGGAGUGUUUAUCGAGUCGUGUUUGUUCUAUCUCCGGAUUCUCUCUAAGUUCCAACGUCAAAAUGUCUUCUUUUUUUAAUCAUCAUUUUUGUUGAUCCACAUAGCAUAUUUCAAACAAUAUCCAUUAUACUCGUGAACAGAAGUUAUUAACACAAAUUAUUAAUCGAUUAGUACUAUUAGAUAUAGAUUUUUUACAUAACAUUAUUUUUUUUUUCCAUUCUUAGCCUAUCUAGAGAGGCCUUUCAUCAUACUAUCCUCUUCCUACUCUCUUUCUCUCCCAUGUGGCACCAAGAUACUUUAUAAGUGGAUGUUAUUAUCCUCUGGGUACUACCCCUCUCUCUCUCUCUCUCUAUCUCUCUCUCUAGAGAGAGAGAGGUAGGAUGUAAUUGGCAUUGUUUUUUUUAGAGAAUAAUAGCAUGGCAUCAUUUAUUUAAAAAAAAAAAAAAAAAUUUAGCUAAAGAUAUAAAGCAACUAAAAUUUGAACUUGAAAUCUUGAGUAUCACAAUUAGUAAGACAAACUAGUUUAAUAAUGUAGCAGCUAAAAGUACUAGUUUCAUAUUAUAAAAGAUUCAAAAAAUUCAAACAUACUUAUAAUUUUUUCUCCUUCAAUAUAAUUUUUAUAAUAUAAAAAAAUUAAAAAUGCUCCUGAAAUUUUUAAUUAUAAUAUAAAAAUAAUACUUUUAGUCACUAUAUUUAUAUAUCAAGGCUAGAUUAUAGAAAAUUCCUUUAUAAAUAACGUUGCAUUUAGCCCCCUCCCCUAUUCAAGAUUCAUUACUAUUCUGUUAAUUUCUUAUAAUUUAUACCGAAAAUAUCCUUUAAAAUAAUAUAAAUAUAUUAAAUAAUUAUUUUUUUUCCUUAUAUAAGAAAUAAGGAUAAUUUGAUUGUUUUACCUUCUCUAUUAACACUCUAUUUUUCUGAAUGCAAAAUAUAAAUUUUAAAAAAUAAAAAAUAAUAAAAGAAAAUAUUAGAUCUGAUUUUUUUUUGUCGCUUGUGCCGGUAACAGUCGGUGUUUAUGCGAUCGGGCAUUGUUACUGCAUCUGCAAGGGGUGGAGUAGCUAGUAGUACUAAAAAAAGAGUUAUAUCGAGAUGUAGUUUAGGAAAAAUUUGGAAUGCAUCGGAUAUAUUGGUGACCUGGCGUAAUAAAUCAAUCAAAUCUCUCCUUUUAGAGAUAUAUGUCCUAUUAUGAUUAAAAAAAAUAAUUUUAUUAUAUUUUUAUUUGAAAAGAAGAAAUAUAAUUGAGUUGUUAUUAACGACGUGGUGCGAGUAUGACAGUGUAGAAUUCCUUGUAGUUUAGGCCCCAGCAACGAUGCGAUGGUGCUGGUGUGGAAGGGUACUGUCAGUUUGGUGGUGUUUCGCGGAAAAAGCGAUCAUGAUGCGUCCCCCCACGCUGCAUGUGGGGCGCAUGCAACCAACCCAAAUUAUGUCGAUCGUACGUGUUCCCUCUCCUGCGUUACGUACGCGCGCGGGCCCAACCAGCUCACCUAUCUAGCUCAGGCCACCAAUAACAAUAAUAGUAAUAAUCAUCAUCAUCAUCAUCAUCAUCAUCAUCAACAUUCACCAUCAGAUCAGUAAAAACCAUCGUUAGUUUAUAUAUAUUAUUACCAUUUCAAAAAUAUUAAUUUCUUUUAUUUGGAUAUAUAUAUAUAUAUAUAUAUAUAUAUAUAUAUAUAUAUAUNUGUGUAUUUUUAACUAUUGGAUCUACUUUUUGAUUACUAAUAGUCCUUGGAUCAAACACUAUUCUACCUACCACCACCUACGACCACCUACCACCAUCAUCUCAACCUCACAUCUCUCCAUCUAAGGGCUAAAAACACAAAAGUAUCACUUGGGUGAUACUUUUACAAGUAUUCUAGCUCUACUCAUAUAUAUAUAUCAGUACCACGCACGAAUUAUUUGUUAUUCGUAAGCUGGUUGUAGCUAGGUGAGAUCUAGCUAGCUAUGUUCCAAAAUAUAUAUAUAAGUUGAAUGAAACUGCAGUCUAUAAUAAAUCUAAUGACAAGAGAUUCAAUAAUAGACUUAGGGAUUUCAAUAUUUACGAAUACCCGAAAUUUUAUCCGAAUCCGAAUCCGAACGGAACAAAUUUAUUCAAUGCUAAACGGCUAUUGUUUCAAAUAUAGAUAUUAAAAACAAAAACCCGUCGGGUUCGAAUUUUUGAAAAUUCUUCUCGAAUCCGAUCCGUUGAUAUCCCUAAAUAGAUAUAAUUUUCAAAUGAAUUGAAUCAAGUCGAAACUGGUGAGUUUGGCAACAGAGUACUUGCAACAGAGUACUUAAACGUAAUCGGCGCGUUUUUUUUAUUAGCACAUGUUUUCGAAAUUGUUGAUUAGUACCUACUGUACAUUUGUUACUUAUGUUAGGACAGUGGGCAUUAUUACCUUGAUAGUUAAAGCAGCAGAUGUGACGCUUGAUGGACGUGGGUUCACUAUGCAGGUUGCGCCAAAAAAAAAAGGAGGUCUUAAAGAAACUAGGAAAGAUUUCAUAGGAGUAAUUUCACAUGUACUCCUACAGGAGACUAAAAUUUCAUCAAUAAUCCUCUAAAAUUAAAAGUAUAAUAAAUAUUUUUUAAAUUUAAAAAAUACUCAUAAAUGUUCCUAUAGAUAAUGUGCCGUCAAAAUUUAACCGAACAAGUUUUAAAUGUCAUUUCUACCGUGUACGGUUCAUUAAGUAUAGGAAACCGUAAUUGGCAUAUUAACACUAUUCGCUAGCGCCCUCUUAUUCUCUCCACAUAAUAACGAGCCUACUAAGUAGUUGAUAUUUUACAGCAGCCCGCUAAGUAGUUGGUGUUUUACAACACUUCGUAAUCCAACUCCUAAUUAUGAUUGUGGUAAACCGUACUGAAUUUAGAUGUCAAAAUAACCGCAUAGUAAAAAUUGAUGAUUUUAUCGAGGCUCAAAUUAGAAGGUAAAUUGAUAUGAUACUUUAGUGUGCAUAUAAUUAUUAAUUAAAUAUCAAAUAUAUAAUGCAGUAUAUUUUCUACAGGUUGAGAAAUAAAUAUGAUACAACUAUUUUGCUUGCGUAGAUUAUGUUGGCUUAAAUGGGCCAGCAUCCUGCUCUGUGGUGGGAGGUCAUGUUGGGUUGAGUAAUGUUCGACGUGGCGUAAGGCUGGGUGGGCCGAGUCAUAUUCGAAGUGGCGUAAGGCUAAUUUGGUCGAGUCAAAAUUGAGAUCCGUAGGCGCUGUAUCUCUACGCUUUAAGUGAAUUAGUUGUAUCUUUCUGACAGUUCGAGCUUUUGGGAUUAAUGGUUAGCGUCAACGAUUCUACAGAUAAUUUUCAACACAACACAGUUAACCUUAAAUACCAAAUACAGAUGCUGAAAAAAAGCAUAGGCUGAAGAAUUAAAAAGUUGGAGGAGAAAAUCCUAUUGUGUAUUUUAUAUACUGGUUUCUGAAAUUUUUUACCUUAACAUUAAUUAGUCAUUUCCGGCCAAAUAUAUCAUUCUAACUUUUGGGGAAAAAUUUGUCAUUUUAUAUUUUAACUCUCAUUUAACUAUAUUUUAAUCCUGGUAGAGUGACACGUCCUUAACGGCAAGGGUAGUUAUGAUAAUUUUAUGCGUUUAAAAAGAUAUUUAAGAUAUUUUAAAGUUUAAAGGAGUAUUCACGAAAUUUACAAGUUUGAUAAGGUUACUGAUGAAAUUGUCAUUUUUCUUUAUAACAAUAAUUGCAUAUAAUUUAGGGUAAACUUCAAAUAUCAAUUAUAUAGUUUAACACUUUUUUACUUUAGUAUCGUGUAGUUUAAAAGGUAUUACUUUAGUACCCUAUGAUUUUAUUUUUCUCUUUCCGUCAGCACCUCCAUUAACUCUCCGUUAAAUUAUAUACAAAAAAACUUCAUAUACCCCCCCUAUAGUUCAUUGAAUAUUCACUUUAUUAUUCUGUGGUUUACUAAAUAUUUAUUUUAGCACCCUAUGGUCUUAACUUUAUCACUGAUAUAAUAAAAAAAUUAAUAGAAAGAAUAACGGAAAGAAAAUUUUAUUAAAUUUAUUAAAAUUAAUAAUAAAAUAAAUAUAAAAACUCAAAUAAAAAAAAAUAGAGGUUAAAAGGGUGUUGAUGGGCCAAUAUCAAAAUCGUCCAUAGUUGAGGGGGUCUCCAUACAUUUUACCUAUUGAAAUUAGACUAUUUUAGUUAUUUUAGCUAAAAAGUUGUGUUAAAUUUAACAAAUUUUUUUUAAUACUAAAUCUCUUAACUUUAAAAAACUAAAAGUUAAAGGAUCUUAAUAAAAAACUGCAUAGUUAAAGAAAUUAUUUCGAACUAGCAUAUAGUUGAGAAAUCUCCGGUACAUUUCUCAAAUAGUAUCAAGCAAUUAGAGGUAAAUUCAUCAUUUCAUUACUUAACCCCUAAUUAAUCAGGAUAAACUAACGGUAUUUUAAUUAUAAGGAUAUUUAUGAUAAUUUUUUAUAUUUUAAGGAAUAUGUAUUAACUUUUGUAGGAAUAUCUACGAAAUUUAUAAAUUUUAGAAUGGUAGGGAUGAAAUUGCCCAAGAAACUAUUAGUUCGCUAGUUGAGGCUGCCGACACCAUCUUUUCUUCUACAGUGCAGUUAAAAACAAAAACAAAAACAAAAACAAAAACAAAGGAAAAAAGAAAUCCAAGAUUACAAAAUUAAACAUUAAUUUCCUUGUGGUGGCAAAAUUUUGGGAACGAAUUAUUUAAAGAAUUUAAUCGAAGACACAACACUUUUUUUUUCUUUUUUUUCUUUUUUUUUUUUUUUUACACCUAAAAACAGAUACUGAAGCUUUUAUUUUGGCGCAUAUUGAAGCUAUGUGGCAUGCGAGACUGAAAAUACAAUUUAGUUAUUAAAAAUAAAAAUUAAUUUAAUCCUAAAUAGAUUGGAUUUAUCGACUAUGGUCGAAUUCACUUAAUAAGUCUGAUAAAAUAAUACUUUUAUUAAAAAAGAUUAGAUUUAAACCUGGUCAAAUUCAUUCAGUGAAUAAUAAUCGGAUUGAAACCUACAUUUCAAUAUCAAAAUCAAAAUUAGUUCCGAUUUGCAAAUAUUUGAACUCUGUCCCCUCGGCAGUGCCCAACCUUUACGGGCUAACGUAGAGUUUAAUUUGAUUGUGUGAAUAUAUAUAUAUACACCUAAACUAUGUAGUUUAAAAGGAGAAAAAAAAAGAAAUGAUUUGAUUGUGUGAAUAUAUAUAUAUAUACACACACGUAAACUAUGUAGUUUAAAAGAAAAAAAAAAAGAAAUAGUUGGUGGGUGGGAACAGUUUUCUGAGGUGUAAAUUAUGCACUCUAUCUAUUAUAUAAAUAAAAAUUUUUUUAAUAAUCACAUUGAGAUGACUAGUAAAAAACACUUUACUCAUAAAAUGAGGAGUAAUGUUAUCGAUACAUUCCCAAAUGGAGUGUAUAUUUUACAUUCUCUUCAUCCAAAAGCUAUUUUUUUUACUUCUCGCAUCAACUUCUUUCAACUAAAAAUCAUUUCAGUUUUUGUGAAUUUUAGGAUACGGGUGUAAGAUUUGCAUUCCCUUUCGAGUGUACAAGUAAAAUUUUUCUAAAAUGGGCGGAGUACAAAAUAGGUUUUUUUUUUUCUGUAUGAUAGUUUUUUUUUUUUUUUAAAGAAUGUUGUUUAAGCAUAAAAUUACUAUCAUUAUCCUUAAUUAAUUCUUUUGCUUAAUAUAUCUUAUCUUUUAUUAAUAUAACUACCACAAAAGAGAGUUAUUAUUUUCUAUAGAGCAAUGCUAUCCACACACUCAAAUAUGACUGCAAAUUAAUCUUUCACCCUUGGCAUCCAAGAGCUCAUUUAAUCAAGCUAGUCCCAGAGGUAUCUAGAUUCUUGAAUGAGUUGAGCUCUUAAAAUUUAUAUUCUAUUUUUCAAAAUGUGUACAAGGAGCAUGGAGUGAAUGAUUAACUAAGCAGUACAACUCACAUAGCAGUUAAAAAGCAAAAAGGAAAGAAAAAUUAUAUAUACAUAUAUAUAUAUAUAUAUAUAUAUAUAUAUAUAUAUAUAUAUAUAUAUAUAUAUAUAUAUAGUACACUAAAACAGAGCACAAAGGAGAGGGGCUAUGUCUGUGUUAUAGACCAGCAUGGGAAUAAGAGAGAAGCUAUUGUGGAAGUCACCUUCUUCCCCCAUUUAUGCUUGGGGAGAUUCCUUCCUUCUCUUCUCACCCCAAUUAUUAUUAUUUUUUAAAUAAAAUAUUAUAUAAAAUUUAAUAGUAUAUUUAAUAAAUAAGAAGUAUGAUUAAAUAUGUAAUAAAAUAGAGUUAGUUUGUUAUGCUUUUGCAAGCACUAAUUUUCAACUUUUAGGUCCUUGGAUUCAUACUAUUACCACCAGCUACUUUUAAACCACUAAUAGAUCUAAGGUUUAAAAGUUAGAAGAAUAGGACUGACGGUCCCUAAUACAAGUGAUAAAAAACUUGAUGGUUAGUAUCCGAGGUUUCAAGUUCGAAUCCUAAUUGAUUCAUAUUUCCAGCUAAAUUUAUUUUUAAAUAAAAUAAAUGAAACCGAUACCAUGCUACCUAUCUCUCAAAAAAAUAAAUAAAUUUUCGGAUAAAUUAGAAUUUAGUUGUAAAGUUUUUUUAAUUCUAAAAAAUAAAAUAUUUUAAUGAGCAAAAAAUCAGACUCUUGAUUUUCAAUUACAACAAACAAUAUUCAUAUUGUAGAAAUUGUUAGAAUAACUUAUUUUAACAUUCCAACGGACUAAAUGCUUUUACGCGAGAGAAAAAAAACAUGCUAUCGGUUUCACUUAUUUUUUAAAAAAAUAAAUUUAGCUGAAAAUAUGAAACAAUUAAGUUUCAAACUUUAAAUUUUAGGUAUUAAUUACAAAACCUUUCGCCACUUGCGUCAGUGACAGUCAAUGAGUGAUGAAAUUGUUAUUAUGCAUAUAUCAUAUUCGAAUAAUUUCGUAAAAUACAAUCAGAGUAGUGAUAAAAUACAAUAAACCUCCCAUUCAUAUGUUGCCAUUAUAACUUUUUAUAAAAUUACUGCCGUAUUAACUAUAGCGUUUUAGUACACGCACCUCCAAUUACACCCUACAAUGCUACUAGCAAUGUACCGUGCUUUGCAAUGAGUGCGAAUUUUAAUUUUAUAAUUAUUAUAUUAUACAUUAUAUAAAGUCACUUAAUAGAAUCAAAUAAAAAUACUAAAUUUUAUACAUAUCUUUUAUUUGAAAAGAGAAAAGAACAUUAAAUAAAAAUUAAAAUCAGAGAGAGCACUUUCAAAUUUCACCCAUAAUGUAAAAAAAAUAAAAAUUAAAAAUUUUUAAAAAUGUAUAAUUAUUAAAUUCAAAUAUAAAUCUUUCCAAAUACUUGAAACAGGAUCUCCUUGGGAAAAACAUUGUGAUUUUCUGUUUUAGGGUUGUUUUCCAUUUUGUUUUUCUGAGAAAUCAUUGGAGAGGUAUAUUUACAAGAAGAACCUAACAAGAGAAAAACAACAAUAGUGUAGGUUCCCAGAUAGGCCUGGAUUAAAGCCAAGCCACCCCUUUGCCCAAUAAUGGACAAAAGCAAAAAUGGAAGAAAAUGGGUGGUCCUUGCACAAAAGAAUUAAAAUAGUACAAGCCUUCAUGUACAAGAAAUAAAAUUUAGAAAUCAUUGGUUGAAUAUAAAUAAUAAAUACAGUAAACCUAGACAUACAUAUAACUAAGUAUACAACAGUUAUAACUACAAAAAAAAAAAAUACUUGUUUGCUUUUGUACAAAUACAACCUAAGUAGUAAUUACAUUUCGCCCGUUAGGUAAUAUAAAGCAGGUAAUAUAAAGCUGAUAGUUCUAUUUAUGAAUUUUAUCACUUUUCCAAAUAGAAUUAGGGGAUUAGCCCCAUUAUAUGUAAAAUAAUCAUAUGAUUUUAAUAAUCAUUUAAAAUUUCUAUCUACAAAUAAAUAAGUGGGUAUGUAUAAUAUUUUUAUAUUUGUCAAUAAUUUUUCAUCAUAUAAAUCUGUCAAUUUAAAAUGCUCAAUCUAUUUAACCUUAAGGAAUAAGCCACACUUAAAAAUCAACUAUAUUCUUUCUUUUUUUUAUCCAAUUGAAUAAUUAUAAGUAAUUAAAAUUUAUUUAGUUAACAUACACAAUCAAAUUCUAUAAAAAUUUAUAAACAAGGCCAUUUUUAAUAUUUUUAAAUAAAACUAUUUCUCAAAAACUUUAUUUUUUUACACAAAGCUUACUCAAACUUUUAUUAGCAUUUAUUUAUUUACAAAUAUUUUUAUUUAUUUAUCUCUAUAUACAAGUAUUUUUUUUUUAAUUUUUUUAUUCAUUUCUGUUAAUUAGUGAGUGAUUUGACCUUUCACCAACUACAGCAGUUGGAACUACAAGCAAUUUGAAUGCAGUUCUAAAUGCAACAUCUAGACUUUCUUAUGCAACUGUAACUACAUCAGUUGAACUCAAUUACACCAAAACCAAAUAUAAAAUUUAAAUCUGCAUGUAUUUGUAACUAUAUUGUAAUUACAAAUGCAUACAACCAGACAGUCUCUCGAUGACAAGCACCGAACAUGCUUAAUGCAAUCGUUUAAGGACUCAAUGGUUAACACUAGAGGUCCCAAAGUUUGAAGCCUAAUUGGUUUAUAUUUCUAGCUCAAUUUAUUUUUUCAAAAAAACUCUCAAAAGCAAGAAGAAGAAAUUUAAUGAAAGGCUUUAAAAAGGCUAUGAGGCUAAUAUCAAUUAUAUAGAAAAAAAAAAAAAAAAAACAAAUAAGACACAACAAUGGCAUAUCGUAGUAAACAUUUCAAGCAAAACUAUGCACAUCACAUAAUGAGGAAAAAUAAAUUCUGCAAACCUCGUAGGGAGCUCGCUGGGCCUUCUAUUAGAAGUGUUUGUUAGAAUAAUGCUGCGAGAAGAAACACAAACAAUUCAAGAAACUUCAAGUUGCGCCGCCGUUGAUUGCACCGGUUGGUCUCCUAACUUAAACAUGAGUUUUCACUUGAAUCCUGAACCCCACAAUUUUUGCAAUUCGAUCACUGAUGUGUUGUUUCAAUCUGAGUCGUCUGCAAAAGUUAGGAUUGGGAACCCAAUUAACAGCUGCACAGGAAUGGCCAAAUUUAACCCUUUAGCACCACUUGCAUUUUGCGAUCCAAUACCUCACCACAGAUAAAAUCACAAUCGCAACCAAGAUACAACCGGCUCUGACCAUUCAGAAAUUUUCUGCAGAAAGAGAACUGAUACAGGGGUGCCGACAUCUUCGCUUAUUGCACAAAGCAUGUUACAGAAAAUUUUAUAGUACAGAUACAUGCGUAUGAAAUAUUUCUCAUGCCUCAGUCUCAUCCUGGAGGAGGAUUUCGUAUAUAUCUGUGCGGAUGUUCAAUUCUUUGUCUCGCAUGACUUCCUGAAGAUCUGAUAGCUCCUUUAGUGUCAAAAUUGAACUCAGUUUCUGGAAUCCGUCGAGCCAUAACCUUUUAGACCUACAAACGAAUAUGAAGUAUGAAAUACAUAGCGGCUGUACAAAUAUGCAUUACUAAAGAAAUUAAGAUUGACAAUUGCAGAAUAUAAAGUGAUGAACAAUUUGGCAUUUUCUAAAAGAAUACCAUGGACAUGCGUGAAUAGCUCUGAAAAAGACUCGUCUCGCAGCAGAAGGAUUGCGGACGAUGUCGGCCUCGUAUGCAAGGUAGCAGCGCCACAACAGCACCGACUUCUGCAACUUAUUGUUUGCUAGAGCUCUCUCAAACAACCCAUGAAUCCUACUGCUAGAUCCAGGCUUAUCCCAUUCAAACGACAAUGCAAAAAGCCAGGCAAUCACAGAUGGAUUCCUAGAAAACAUGAAGAAAGGUCGUUACAGUUUGAGUGUUUUCGAUUAUGAUACAUGCAAAAAGAAAUGUAUAAUUAUAUUAAAUAAUGGAGAACUUUUGACAGUGCGUGCUAACUUGUGGAGACAUGAUUAGAUUUGAUCACAAUCAAAUAGAAUUUCUCACUGUUUGACUUAAUCCUAGAGAAAGAGCUGCUGCUUAAAUUUUUUUUUUUUUUUUUUUAAAAAAAAAGCUAGUUGUACGCAAAAAAAGGGGUGCACACCUUACACCCCCAAUCCUAGAGUUUAAAAAUCCAUGGCUUUUAAAAAAUAUGACAAGACAAGUGUGGAAUAUUGGCCCUUUGACGAAAGGGCGUAAAAUUUACAUCCACUUUUUGGGAGUACAGGUAGCAUUGCCCUUAAGUCAAUUUCUUAGAAUAUCAACUGGAAUGCCAACGAGUGUAGAGUUCAGCCAUUGACCUGACAAUUAACAUAUCUAAUCUGGUUAAUUUCACGCAACAUAUCCACUGAAGUUAAAUUAAGCAAGAUUUCCAUGGCAUUAUUAUUAGAAGACAGCAUAUAAGACCAUCGUUUUAGGUUUUAACUUUUCUAAAAGUGAAGCAAAACCUUUCGUUAAACAAUUUAAUUCAAGUUACUGGGUGUUAUCAGCUAGUUCAAGAAGCAGAAAUAGGAGGAGACAAAGAAACUUAUUAGCAAAGAAACAAGAUGAGUGAAUACAAUGGAAUUGACAACAACAUACACAGUAUCAAAAUUCAAACAAAAAGAACUCAAAAGGAAAUGUGACAGCAAAGAGUGGAAUUUCUACUUAUCCCAAAGGAAUUAUAGGGAGUAUAAUAAGAAUUAAUGCUUAGCUAAAGGUGCAUAUAGGCAAGGUCAUUCAAGAAAAGAAAGAUCACCUCUCUAUACAUUUGUCUAGUAGAAGUCGCACUUUGUUGGAAACCAUAUAGCGACAGCUUAGUCCUAACAUGGCUGCAUAUGUUUUUGAAUUGUUAGGAUAUAUUUGCAGCCCUUCUGUUAUGCUUCCCCGCACCUUUGAGAACUUCAAUUGCUUGCUAUGUUUCUGAAGCAGUCCAACAUAAUAGAUCCACAAAGUUUCAAGUUCCAAGCUGGAGCUUCUCCUUCCUGAGGAAAUGAAUCUUACUCAGCAGAGAAAUGAGAGGCAUGUGAUGAUACAACGGAACUCUAUAAAGGAAAAGUAACGGCCACAGACCAUAUUAUAUGCCAAGUAGUCAAACUGAAUGGGCACAUGAUAACAAGCAAGGAAAUAUAUAUGUAGAAUAAGUAACAAUAUAAAUUAUAUAAAUUGUGCUCACUGGCAAUAUUUAACUUUCUGAAUCCAAGCUAAUUAGUCAUUCAUAAGUAGAGAUUUAUCCACUUGCAUUGGUGGAGAAUCUGACUUGAUUUAAUACAAUUUGAUAUAGUUCAAGCUCCAAUUGACCACAUUGAGUUAAUUCCAGAUUGAGCUGGGUUGAUUCUACUUUAACUAUAACCAUUUUUGGACCUACCAACAAAGUAUGAGCUCACAGUAUUAAAAGCAAUAAUCGAAAGAAUAAACCAAUUUAUCACUUAUCUUCUGCUACUCUGCUAGAUGCUUCAGUGCUGCAGGGCACACACCCAUGUGGAUUAGUUAAUGUUUCCAGAUUAUCCAGAUUGUCUCUUAGAGCUAAACAGUACAGGUAGACAUGACAUGCAUGAUUGUUAUGAUGCAGAAGUCAGUACUAGUACAGAAGUAGCUUAACCAAAGCUAACUGUUUUCUACUCAUGCUUUGGAUCGUGUUAUAGAAGCUGGUCUAUUGCAGAGAUGGAGCUGGCUGCUAAUCCCCUCAGAUCGACCAGAAUUGCUCUCAAGUAUGAGUGAAGACAAUAUGCGUUCCUGAUCAUAGAUCUGAGUCAUUUGACACCAACAAGGGAACAAAUAAUUCACUUAAAGGACAUGUGGUUCUCCACGAAGUGCAAGAAAUUCAAUGGCUAUAAUAUUUUUUCUAUUAUAAAUUGUGAUCUAAUAUUUUAAACAUAAAGUUUGGGCCAACAGAACUUGCUAACCACUCUCAAUCACCCUUCAUAAUAGCACUCAUUAAAUGAUGAUCUUGCAUAAUUAUGCAAUGAACUAUAUUUACUUAUACAACAUAGACACUAAAAGGCCGACAAUUAAUUAAACAAUGAAAAGAAAUAAACAUGACUGACCUGAAAGUGUCGCUGAAAAGGUUUCUUCAAUAACUUCAAGACCAGCAGACCAGCCGGAUGUCAAGGUCUCAAAUAAAGAAGCAGAACAGACGAGAGCAACAGAACCUUUUGUUAUGGAACCACGUGCCCAUAAGUAUCUUAAGCUUUUAAUCUGUUCUCUAAAUCCUUGACGUGCUCUCAAGACCUGGGGACCAGAAAUUGGAUUUUUAAAGGGGGUGUACUUAAGUUUGCUUCCUAAGCAUGACAGUAUGUAGACGGCUCGCUGCAAGGACGACUCAGCUAUGUUGCAGCUCGAAGUAGAUGUCUCCAACUCCAUUUCAGCAUACCAUAAAUAAAGAAGAGGAACAUUUUCCUGAAGGUCCUGGCCCACCAUUUCGAACAAAGAAAUAUCAAACAUCUAAAUAAUUAAAACAAGUAGAGUAUAUUAGGAAGAAAAUAACAAGCUAGAAUAAAACCAUCUUUUGAGUCAACAUUAAAUAUGAGAAUUAACUCUUGAGAAAGGAAGUGGAAAGAAGAAAGAACCAUUCUGUCUAAUCCACAUUUAUUUAUUUAAAAAAAAAAAAAUGGAAAGUGUUAUAUGAGUAGGCUACUAAGAGAAGCACUACACUAAAAAAAGCUCCAAACUGGAUCUUUUGCUUCUGGAGCUCAGGAUCCAAUUUAUGCGUCCUGCCACAGUAAAAGCUGUGGACUUUUUUUUUUUUUUAUAUAGUGGAAAUUGCUGAGCUGAACACAGAAGCAGAAGCUGGGCCAAGCAGGCACCAUGUAAGUACUAUGGCAAAGUCUAACCCUUGUUCAGGGUCAAUAUAUCUGUAAACAAAUAAAGUGAAGUUCGAAACUGAAACAGAGAAGGCGAAUUGCCAUCACUAACAACAGAGAGGCAACAAAUGUCAUAUUCUGAACACCAAAAACGAUAGGCUUUUUUUUAUGAUAUGGAGAAUAUUGCAAUCAGCAAAACUGGGAACAUUGUAUUUGUGGGACAGAUAUCAGUUGAAUCGAAAGAAAAAAAUUACUUCAAUAUGACAAGAUUAAGACUCUUACCUGUGCAACUCCAUCAACAGAUAACAAUGCCAUAUCCAAUAUCUUCCUUCCAAGAUCAAUAUUUCCAUGGCUGGCCUCUCUUCGUGCAUAUAUACCGCAAAGUAACAAAUCCUUUUGAAUAACAUGUGACACAAAUGUCAGUGAUUAUCAUAGAAUUAUGAACUUGAAAUUGACAGUGACACUCCAUUAUAUGAUUGGCACAAACAGAACCAGCAAUUUCUAAAAGUUCAACUUCGGCAAAUAUGAAGCCUGAGGAAUGAUAUAUCCAUUCAAAAUUCUACAGGGCAUAAAAGCCUCAAAAUUCACAAAAGACUUGUUGUUGUCAUUUGUACCCACAAAAGAAUAAAAUACAAUAAAAUAAUUAGAAAUAAAAAUCAUUGCACAAGUAAACUAUGCAAUUACAAACAUAUCAAGUACCUGUCGAUCUUUUUUCAGUAGGUUUUUGGCCAAAGCUCGUGAGGCAUUGGCUGAAGAAGAUGACAAAUUCCUUUUAGCUGAAAGUAUCUCUUCAGUUACAAGUAGAGCUUCUUCUAAUAUAUCAUUACGAGGAAAGACAUCAAGCGAAAGCAAUAUUGCAUUCCGCAGAAAUUUCAUCAUUGCAGUGCUUGUUGAAGAAUCACUUUUGCUGCCCAUCAGGGAUUCCAAGCUAAGAUGAUCUGAAGAAGCUUGAAUCUUGUUUACUAGUUCCCAGACACCUCUCAGAUCUUUCAAAAUAUCAUCUGGCACAGUCUCCAAGCUUAGAAUCCGGUCAAGCCAACUCGAUUUGUUCGUAGACGUCCUGAAGGUUAGAAGUCAAAGCAAAAACUGAGCAUACGGAAACACCAGAACACCGAGAAACUCAUGUAUAACUUUUAAUGUUAUUGCUUCUAUAAAGUACAAACAUUAAGAGAUAUGGUGAUAAUAUUCUAAACUAAAUUACACGUAAGAGCUGAUCUGUCCAUCUCUUCACCGUAAGCAAUGUAUUUGACACGGUUAUUCCCAGCAAAUUACACCUAACGGGCUAACAAUUUUAGAAAAUUGAAAUAUAUGUCCAAUUGAAAAAAUAAUAAAAAAAUAAACGCCAUUGAUAUUUGAACAUCACUAGUUACUUUAUUAUCACACAAGAACAAACAAAGCAGUGAAAUCUAUCAAACAGAAGAAAACUGAGAUUACCAUUGAGAAAUUUUACCACCAUAGAAGUCAACAAAUUGGCACAGCAAGGACAAACGAGCCUCCUCUGAUGACAAAGAGAACAAGUAGUCACUGACAUCGUCAAACAAGAUCACCCUUGAAAGCUGUUCAUCACCAUCCUGCGCUGGGUUGUCAGGAUGAGCAGAUUCUGAUUUUCAAAGGCCAGCGUCAUCAUCCAAAGAUGAAAAGUCAAAUGAAAAUGAAGAUUAACAAGCAAAAAGAAGUUAUCAAUAAGAUCAGGAUAAAUAUAUCAGCAAAUGAUCCAAAAGGCAACAUCAAAGAAAAAGCUAGAGAGUCACAAGUACCAGAACUUUCAUAAACAGGCAUCCACUGCUCAUUGUCCCUUGAUAAUUCCUCAAGGGACCAUUUUUUCCAUGUAUUGACAUCUUUAACCUCGCUAUUAGACUCGGCAUCUAUAUCAAUUCCUAGUUUUUUUAACAACGAUUCAACAUCUUCUUGCAAUGGAGCAUCUUCAGUAUCAGGGUGCUCUUCCUCAUUUCCAUCAGCUAGGGUAGGCCCUAUUAAAUUAUCUAGCUCUUCAUUCAUUUCACUUUUCAUCGAUAAAGGGUCAAACCAACCACUCCAGCCUCCUACUUCAGCCUCUUGCGAACUUUCCGGCAUAAUCACAUUCUUCCUGUUCUCCUCAUCUUUUGCUAACCAUUUAGACCACCCAGCUGCACCCUCUUCUCCAAUCCUUGCACCACCACUAUUCCAGAAGUGCUCAAAGAGCCUUUUCUUACUAUAUGGUGUGAGAAGUAAGGUUGGGCACAACAAGCUAUACUCUAUUUGAGCUUGAAACAACCCAGUUGUUAAUUCCCGGUAACCUGUCUGCCACUCGAAUCUGCAUAGACUCACAAAGAUAUCCACCAAACCAAGUUCUAGCUGAACUAAGGAAGAAUUCGAUGAAUGGACAUCAGCAAUUUGACAAUCCUGCAUAUAGAUUGAAUUGAUUAACAGAAAAAAGAACCUGACAUCUCGAAAAUAAAAAAAUGCAACAAGAGAACAAGUAAAUGAAGACCUAAAAGUAGAAACAAAUUAACUAUGGAAUCAAAUUCAAGAAGCUCAAUCAGUAAUAUGUACAAAUAAAAUCUCCUUGUAAGUUUGCUUUCGAAUUCUUUCACAUCCGGAUGAGUAGAUAUAUAAAAGGAAAUUGUUAAAUGUUAUAUUUGAUAUAUUGAUACAAAUAAAAUGCAAGGCACUAAACUAGACAUCCAGUAACCCUUUAAGUGAUUAAUAUCAAGAACAAAUACACGAUAAUUAUUCAUGCAUUGAUGGAAAACUAAAAAAGAAGUAGAAACCCAGCGUACAUGUUUUUUAGUAGUAGAAAACAUGUGAAGAAGUGACUAUCAAAUAAGACGAAACGGACAAUAUAAAAGUGAAUAAUAGGGUCAAUAUCUGUAAGAAUAGAUAGAGAAAAAAAAAAAGGAACCUGCCUACAAAGCUUGUCGCAAGACGAAGAUAAAGCUUGAAUGGCAUGAGAAUAACUUUUCCUUAUUUCAGAGACCUUAAACCGAGAGAACUCGCUUUGGCAGAAAAGCAAAUACUCUUUCCAUAAUCUACAACUAUCCAAAUGCUGCAUCAGUAUUUUUUCCCAUUUGCCCAAGAUAUUACCACCAGUGUCCCUGUCAUGAUAAGAUCUCAAAAGACAAAGCAUCAGUUCUUCACUAUCCGGAUUGAGCUCCACAGCCUUCUCAAGUAUGCUAAUCUUCUUCUCAAUUGUCUGCAGGCGAGCAGCUUUUUGUGGCUGAGUACUCGCAAUUUUAUCCUGAAAUUUGUAAAUAGUAGUUUUGAAAAAGUUAAGUUUUACCUGAAUGAAAGGCCUACGAAUAGCAAAUAGACUGUUAGAGAGAUUGCUACAUGUGAUACCCAAGGAUUGCCUGUACCACCCAUGUCAUACUGUACCAAGGCCCUACCUGCACGUGGCACAGGAUCGUGUCGAUAUUGUAUCUACAAAAUGUUUUUUUUUUUUUUUUUUGCAUUUUUUGAGAUCCUUUUGAGUUUGAUGUAAAAGUUUUACAAUAGUUUUUUCAUACUUAAAAUAUACAGAUCUUGUAAAUCUACUAACAUUUUGAGGAAUUAGUAAGUUCCAUUGCAUACUAUAACCAACUUUUAGUGAAAAAAUACAAAUAAAAAGAUUUUCUUCAAUUUCUUUUAUCAUUUUAUAUCUAGUGAAUUUACCUAUGGAAGUGUUUUCCUAUAAAUUUUCAUCCAAUUAUGACUUUGGUUUUGGUUUCAUGCGUAUACUUUCGUAACAUAUAUAAAAUGAUUUUUUGCAGUUUUUAAGAUAUUUAUUACUUUAUUCUUACUAAAUUGUGGAAGAUAUAAUACAUAAAAUAUUUUUAUAUCCAUUAGAGAUAUUAAAACAAAAAACUAGGUUUUCUUAAAUUUACUAAAAAGCCCGAGCCAAUGUGCCAACGUGCUAAUGGUGUGCCACUAACACGGGGGCAUACCACCGCCGCUAUGCCAUGCCAUGCCGCUAUCACAGCGCAAAGGCGGUGCCAUUGGCAUGGCAAUCCUCAGUGAUACCUAAAUUCAUUAUAAUAUGAUCAUGAAACAAUUGAUUCUUAAUGUACAUCUGUAUAUACAUACAAAAUUACAAAUGUAGCAAACAUAAGCCAAAGAUCUAGCAAGAUGGUGGAAAACGCAACUCUAAACACUAGCUAGUAUAUACCUGAAAUUCUGCAAAGGCCAACCAGACAUUUUCAUCAUGAGGAAAAUCUCUGGACUUUUUGUUGAAGUCUCUUGUCUUCCGAAUCAAUUCAUCAUCCCAUGAUGCUUCAAGCUCCCCCUUUGGUAUAGACAUAUCACCACCGUUUUCAGAAGACAAAUUCGAUCCCAAAGGUAUAUAAUCCUCGGGCACCAUUGAAGGCAUCUUUUUCUCAAUAAUUUUCACGUGCUUGAAACCCUUGUUUUUCUCGACAGUUGCAUACUUCGCUGAAUAGUAGCGACCUCCUGAUCUCAGUUUAUGGUCUAGUCCAUCUUGAUCUGCAUCUACAUCCAUGUGCGAAGCUGAAGACCUCCAGCGAUAACGAACUUGGAAAUUGAGCCCAGAAAGUUCCAUAAGACUAUGAAGCUUGUAACGAGCAAUAUCCAUUCUGUAGUUUUUACUCUAUCAUUAGAAAAAUCAAUUAAGGUUCAUCAACAUAUUACAAUGACUAGCGAGCCUGUCUAAUUUGGUAAACUAAGAGAGGUUUUUUUCUCAAAGCUCGCACCAUUCGCCAAAUACUCAAAAUAAUUAGUAAAGCCAGUCAGUUUCAAUUAGUCAAAAUAAUAGGUUGCGUAAACAAUUUUGCAAGAGAAAGAUUCAAGCAACUUAGGUGAUGACACUGAACAUCCAUAACAUAGAACUUAUUCAGUAGAACCAGAUGCAUACACAAUUGACAAUAUUCACAGAGCUCUGGUGCCACUGAAUUAAAGCACAACCAUCAUCACCAAAUUUGCUACUUUUCGACAAUAAAAACAUCAAUUACAUGAAGGAAGUAAAAAAGAACUAGGUGUGGAAGUAGAAUAAGACACCGAUAAAGAUAAAAUCAAUAUAAUAUAGAUUUUGAAGGUCAUAUGCUGUAAUAGUUGCAGAAGUAAGUGAAGCUCGAAACAAGAGAAAUGUACCUGUAGAUGCACCCGAAUGCCAAAUUAUCCCUAUCACCACAAGCAUCAAAGUAGUAAUCUUUCGAGGGUUUCCUCUCAGACCCCGCCCACGCUCGAACCCCCGACUUCCUCGAAGCUCCCUCUCCAACACCCUCCUUCCCCCGCUCUCUUUUCCUCUUCUUCUUCCUCCUCCUCUCCCUCCUCCUAGAGCUCCUCUCCUCUUCCUCCGACGAAGGAGACGGAGAGGAAGGGGAAGGGACUAGAUCGUAGGACUUCGCCCGCGCCUCGGCGGCGGCAGAAGGGGCCUCGUCGUCGGAGGAGGAGAUCGCCAGCUCCGGGGGAAGCGCAGCGCCGGCGCCGCCGCUCGCCGGGAUGGCUGAGACGUCGAAGGUGAAGCUGGGAUUGGAGAGCCAUUGGACGGCGCCAGAGGAGGAGAUGGAGGAGGCGGUGGGGUUAGGGUUUGGAGGGUUCGACGAGAGGGGAAAGAGGGGGAAUAACGAAGGGGUCGAGGGUUUCGGGAUCGCUUCUCGCUCUCCUCCCCCUUCCUCCGCAGCCAUGUUCGGGUUCAGGGACGACGACGACGACGUUUUCGGGCUCGAUGGGCUUCGGCGUGGCAUUUUAGUCCACCGCUCAUGCGAGUGUCACGUGUUGUGCACGUGAUUAGAGAGUGGUAAAGCCCACAUUGUAGCCGUGGCCCAGCCCAAUUGGGCUGCGCGUAACUGGGCCGGAUUCGGGGGAUCCGACCAUGCCCACCUCGAAUCCGGCCCAAAAUAUUUAAUAAAUUUUGGGUAUUUUGUUCGGCCAUGUUCAGAUUAAAGAUAAUAUAUUCAAUUGAAAUGAAAUUUUACGUGAAAUAUUUUUAUUUUCCACGUUGUACUUUAACGGGAACUCAAUGGCUUUCGAACUGUAGUUGUUCUCCUUUUUUUAUUUAUUUUACUUAAAAAUUUUCACACCAACACAGAGAAAGUUGAAUACAAUUCCAAUACUUAAUUUUUUAUUAUUUUUCAAUCUAAUGUUCUUCUACAGUUGGCUUUUUAGAGGCGUGAAGUUAUGGACAAAUUUAAUUUACGGUGAACUAAUCAACAAAAGAGUAUUUAAGGCCGAAAAUAACUCCGCGCUCCUUUCACUUUCGGUGAAGGGAAAAUCCACAAACUCAAAUAAGGUUCUGAUUUGCGAUUUUCAAAAUCACUAUCAUAGUUAAUAAUAUAGAUAGCUAGAGUUUAGAAUCUAAAUAAUCAACUGCUCUGCUAAAAUUUCUAUCAAGUUCUCUAAUUGUUCACAGCACACAACGAGAAAUUUGACAACGAAAAAUGUUCUUCGAUUUUAUAAUUUAUGAUCGUGCUAUUGAAUCUUGCCAAAGUUGAGAGGAGGCCAUGCAUGUUUUUGAACAAUUACGAGAGAACAAUUACGAGAGUACUAAAUUGAUAUAUUUUGCAAACUCUUAGUAGUUAUAUAAAAAUAUGGAUUAGUAAAAUACUACAAUACGUUAUCCUGUGAUUCGUAGAAUAUAUUAAUUUACUAAUUUAUGGUUUAUAAAUUCGAGGAAAAACUUUAAAUCCCCCCUUGUGGUUUCGUACUUUCUCACUUUAGUACCCUGUGGCUUAAAGUGUAUUAAGUUAGUACCCUGUGGUUUCGCAUUUUCUCACUUGAGUACCCUGUGGUUUAAUAUUUCGUUAAAUUAUAUACAAAAAAAAUUUAGAUACCCUAACUAGAUUUAUCGAAUAUUCAUUUUAGUACCUUUUAGUUUUAACUUUGUCACUGAUUUAACAAAAAAUGCUCUGAAAUGAAUAAUAAAAAGUGAAAAAUGAAACCACAUGGUACUAAUUUGAUACAAAAAUAAAACCACAGAGUACUAACUUGAUACACUUUAAAAUGUAGGGUACUAAAGUGAAAAAGUGCGAAACCACAGGGUACAAACUUGAUACACUUUAAACCAUAGGGUACUAAAGCGAGAAAGUGUGAAACUACAGGGGGUAUUUGAAGCUUUCCCUAAAUUUUAUCACUUUGGCAUCCUACUUAAUGAUAUAUCUUAACAGUAAGAUUGAUAAAAGUAAAACUAUAUAUUGCAUAGUAAAGUAAUUAAAACACUUCAAACUGUAGGGUAUUAAACUAAAAAUGUGCUAAACCACAUGAGAGCAAAUUGAAGUUAUCUUCUUCUUUCUUUUUUUAUGAUAUACCAUCCGAAUCGAUGAUUCACUUUACUUUGUGGGGUGUAAAAAAUGGCAAGUAUUUAUAAAUCAAAUUUCACAAUUUAACUAAUGGUUAUUAGGUUUCACAAUUACCAAUUUUAAUGGCUAAUGUGAAGCGCUAUUUGAUAGAUAUAGGUUUCACCUUAAUCUUCAAUUGCAUAAUAAUCUUGUUCUUUUUUUUUUUUUGAGAGAGAGAUAGGUAGCUCGCUACCUGCUUCGUUUAUUUCAUUUAGAAAUAAACUUAGCUGGAAAUGUGAAUCAACUAGGAUUCAAACUUGGGUCUUGGAUACCAACCAUCAAAUCCUUUGCCACUUGCAUAAUAAUCUUGUUCUUUGUUUUUAGCAAAUGGUUUGAUUUUGAAUAAUUUAUUUUCUUUCAGUUAGAUAGUAGAUGCACUAGAAAAGAAGUUUUCAUUUCAUUUUAAUUUUGUGGUGUUGGCUCAAGCUACCAGAGAAUAUUACUUUAAUAUUUUAUUUCUAAUACUCCCACUUUUUAGUCUCAAACCUUUAACUCUGAAACUAUAUUAAAUAAUAUAAAAUUAAUAUAGUAAUCCGUGCAAUGUGGCGAAUAGAUAAUUAGAGAAAAAAUAAAAAAUUACUACAAAGGAAAAGAAAACAGUAAUGAAAGAAACGAUAAUAAAGGGUGAGAUUUAUUUUGUUAAUGAAUAAAGGUAUCAGGCAAAGGAAGAGAAAGAGAAACAGUUCGGCCUAAUGUAGAAAUAUANAGAAACGAUAAUAAAGGGUGAGAUUUAUUUUGUUAAUGAAUAAAGGUAUCAGGCAAAGGAAGAGAAAGAGAAACAGUUCGGCCUAAAAAAAAAAGGAAAUCCGGUUCAGUUCAAACAAAAAAAGAGAAAAAUUAAAGCAAGUUCGGGGUGAAGUCCACACUCAAAGUGAUCGGAUCGGUUCAAGCAAAAAAAGAGAAAAUUUCGAUUCAAAGAUGAAAACAUGUGGAGCAGUUGAGUCAAUUCGGCACAAUGCAAUAGGUUGACAUGGUUCGGUUCAAACAAAGAAAGAGAAAAAUCGGGCUCAGUUCAAAUAAAAAAGAAAAAAACAUAUGGAAGACUUGAGCUGGUUCGGGGGAGGCCAUACUCAACAAGAAAAAGAAAAUUUUGGUUUGCUUCAAACAAAGAAAAAAAUAUAUAUAUGAAGGACUUGAACAAGUGGAGCCUACACUAAAAAAUGAAGAGAACGUUACACUGUAGCAAAUUUAAAAAAAAUUUAUUUUUUUCUAUUACAUUAAAGGAGGGUUGGGGGAACCUCAGGUUGACACCUGCCCCAACCCCGCCACUCAUUCAUCUCUCUCUCUCCUCUCUACUCUCUCCACCACACACACAACACACCGACAACACCAUAUAUAUAUUAUUAUAUAUUAUAUAUAUAUAUAUAAUAUAUAUAUAUAUAUAUAAUAUAGGUAAUAUAUAUAUAAUAUAAUUUUAUUAAUAAAUUGUAAUAACAGCUAUUAGUAAUAAAUUUUGAAUAUGAAAAUUUAAAAGUUUGAUACUUUCAAAUUUUAAAAUUUUAAAAUUUAAAUUGCUAAAUUCUUAAUUUUAAUUUAACUUAUAAUAUUCCAUUAAUUUUAAUUUAAAUUCUAAAUUAAUAUUAAUUAAUUAAUUAUAAUAUAAUAAUUAAAAUUUAUAAAUACGCUGGACAUAAUAAUUACGUAAUAAAAUCUAACACUGAUAGAUAUAAUUUAAAUCACGUAAAUAUCGUUGUUAAUUAAAAAAAUAGUAUUUAAAUUUUAGGAGUAAAAAUUUAAGAAAAAUAGUGUAUCAUCUGUGUAUAUAUAUAUUAAUUUUAUUAAACAAUUUCAUUUACAAUUUAUAUUUUGCCUUCUUUUAUUGACUUUUAAAAUUAUUUUGAUAGAUGUAUCUCAAAUUCUUUUUAUAUCUUUAUAAAAAUAAAUUAUUAAUUAAAUUUAUUUGCGUAUUUAUCAAUUUAUGAACUUUAUUUAAAUAUAGAUUUACUAUUAAAUUAUUUUAUAACUUUUUUUAAUUAAUAAUUAGACUUAUAAAUUAUAUAAAAAUAUUAAAAAAUAAAAUUUAUUAUAAAAAUAAUUUUAUAUCCGCAGCAUCUGUGCGGUAAUUCACUAUAAUGUAUAAAAAUAGAGAUAUAAACAAUCAUUUAUCUCUAAAAUUCUAAGCUAUUAGAGAACGAUAUUUUAAUAUUGCAUUGUUCAAUAUCUGAGCUCGAAUUCAAUCUACAAUCCAACCAGCCAGUCGAAGUUUCUUCCAACUUAUUUCCUAUGACAUAAUUUGUUAUAUCUAAUUUUACUCUAAUCAAAAUUCUAUACCUCUAUCAUUUAUUUGGUUGAAGAUGCAUAAAUUGAAAAUACAGUAAUUAUAGUAUAUGCAUUCUUGUUUAUUUAUUUAUAUGUAGUAAAACAUACUGUAAUUAUAAAUAAUUUAUUUGGUUGUACGCAGUUGAAAAGUGCAUUUCAAAAUUUUGCCACUUAUAAUAUAUAAUAUUAUAAUUAUAUAUAUAUAUAUAUAUAAUAUAUUAUUAUAUUAUAAUAUAGUUAUAUAUAUAAUAGUAGGACUAAUGUGCUAUGAGGAGCACAUCAAAUUUAUGAUUUUAACUUUCUAACCAUUUAUCUAUUUGAUGGAUGGUUAGGAUAAGAGGAGAAGAGAAAUUGAGGAGAAAUUUAAAAAAGAGAAAUUAAGAUACGUAAUUUUUCUUUAAUUUCUCUUCUCCCUCUUAUCCUAACCGGCCCAUCAAAAUUAAUAGACGUUUAGAAGUUAGGAGCACAAGAACUGUUGUGCUCUAGGAGCAUAGUAACCCUAUCUCUCUCUUCUUUCUCUCUCUUCUAUUAUAUAUAUAUGUCGUGGUGAAAUUACCUUUAAUAUUAAAAAAAAAAUUCCCUUCGAAAAAGAUUAGGAAGGUAAAAUUACUCCCUCCAACUGCUAUAAUGGGAACUGCGUCUAACUUGAGCAUGGUUCAAGCUGCAGUAAGUAAAUUUAAUGUAUCAAAUCAAAAAACUAAAUUUAAAUUUGUUAUAUGUUACUAUUUCAGUAUAGUUAAAUUAUAUGCAGUUAACAAUUUCUAAUGUACCGUUUGGAUUAGGUACAAGGGAUUUUUGUUUUAAUUAAAAUUUAAAUUUUUAAAAUUUAAAAUUGUAAUCUCAAAAUUAAAUUUAAUUCUAAAUUUUAAAGUUUAAAUUUUAAAUUUGAUUAUUUUUUUAUUUAAUUUAAUUUGAUAUUUUUAGUUUAAAUUUUAAUUUGUAUUUAUAUCUUCAAAUUUAAUUUGAUCUUAAUUAAAAUUUGAUAUUUAAAAUUUGAAGUUUAAAAUUUUAAUUUUAAUUUCAAUUUUAAAUUUAAAAGUUUAAAAUUUUAAAUUUGAAUUUAAAAUUUAAAUUCAAUCAAUAUUAUGAGAGGGUAAUACCAUUAUUUUCUAUUUAUAAUUAUCAACUAUUCUUCUUAUUUUAACUAUUUAUGCAAACGUUACUUCUAUUCUCGGAAACAAUCAAAUUUUCAUCAAACAAAAAUUGGUCUAGUUUCUCGCUUAUACCUUAACUUGUACUAUCAUGGUAUAAACUAGUUCUUACUUAUACCUGAACCAAACGAAGCUUUAAGUAUUUUUACAACACAGUGAUCUUUAUUGAUUUUUCUUAUUUUUAAUCAAUUUUUUGCUUGUUAUUUAAAUUUUUCCACAAAACCAAGGACUAGUUCAAAUAAUAAUUUGGUUUGCUUUUAUUUCAGUUUUGAACAACUUAGCUUUCAUUUUUGGCACAUUGAAGAUUCCAAUUAACGGAGUUGUACUAAUGAAAAGCACUAUAUGCCUACUAACUUUAACCUUAUUGUUUGGUUCGAGAAUAAGUCGUUUCUUAUUUGUUUCCUAUACACGUAUAAUUUUUAAAAUAAGAACGAAUAAGAGAGAUUUUUGUUUUGGCUAUGCUAUUUUGAAGAAUAAAGAGAAUAUUGGUUUAGCAUUGUUAGUGUACAAUAGUGAGAAUAUGAUACUUAUAAAUUUUAAAAUUAUUUCUUUUAGUUAACAAAUGUCCAAAUAUAAUCUCGUAAUAACUUAAUAAUAUUAAUUAUUUAGCUAUAAAUAUUAAUAAUGUGAAAAGUUAAGUGAAUAUAUUAAUUAUAAAAUAAAAGGUUGCUAAGUUAAUUAAUAAAUUAUAAAAAUAAUGAUUUAUAUUAAUUAAUUAAGUUACUUAACUAUUAAUCAAUAGAUAAUGAUCAAUACAUUAGUUAAAAUAAAUAAAUUGUCAAUAAUAUUAAUUAGUUAAAAAAAAUCCUAAGCUUGUUUCUCCCUAGAAACAAGCUUAUUUCUGGGAGGCUUAAAAAGUAUUCCCAAAAUACCAAGAUUGGGGAUAAGUUAAACAAAAUACUACCUUAAAGGCAUUUAAAAUGUUCAUAAGAAUUAAACUACUAGGAAUUAGUAUUCUAAAAUUAAAUUCGAACAUUGUAGGAAUUUUUGUUUGGUUAGUAUGUACAGCCCGGGUCCCUUUGAGUUUAAGAGAUAGCGGAAAAGCGUCUGAAUUUUUUUUUUUUUUUUUUUUUUUUUUUGAAAUCCUGACCCCAGAGUAUGCAGACCCGCCACAAAUACAGAAGAUUCCACUUCACACGGACAGAGUCUCCCCUGUAUUUGCACGGCGUCGCACAAGUACAACAGUACAAACAGGAUACAACCACAAAUAUAUGAAUAUAGAAAUUACCGUACAUUCAUACAUUCACCAUUCACAUCACAGAUAUGCAUUCAAUGUAUAAAUCCAUAGAAAAUCUUUUGAAACUGUUCCCUACACAGGAACUUUAUUCUUUAAAAACGCUACCACGAGUAGACAACCUUUUUUUUACAAAAAUCCAGAAUCCACAUUUCAAAUGUAAAUUAACACUGAACCACAUAAACCAACUAAACUAUUCACUAGCAAAUAGAAGGUAAGAAGUAAACCGAAUUAACCUGGGUCGAAAGCUCUAUCGACGCGUACAUCCGUACCUCACGUCGUCCCACUACUCAUCGCCCGCGAUACCUGAAAAAUGGUGGGGAGGUGAAACAUGUAAACAUGUCUCCCUCCCAUGGGUACCGCAAGCCGAUGAAGGCGAGGAAGUACUCACCGGAUCAGGAAGAGCUAAAUAACAACAAGGGUCAGUGGAAAUAUAGUAGCCACAAUAGUAAGUAAAGGGCAGAUAUACCGAAUACAGUAGCAAUAAACUGAAAGAAGUAAGAACUAGAUGAAUAACGGCUACCGCUACUGUAACUGAAACUGAAAGGAUACAUGAACAUCUACUAUAGCAGCAAGAAACUAUAAAGUAAGAACUGUAAAGUUGCAUGCAAUGACUGCUGCUAUAAACAUAUGCGUCAACCCGUCAAGAAGUCCAAAAGUACCCAAUCUGAAACCAAUGCUCUCUUGGUCAGCACCGCAGACCUCAACCAAUGCCCUGGAGGUCCGCACCGCAACACCUCCGACAUACUACUGCCGCUCUAACAUGCAUAUAACCCCUCUAGGGCUCACGGGUUGUCACCAUUAACCACUUUUCGAAAAGAACACUCCUUGCGGUGGAUCAGACGCCCAGUGUUCGUGAAUGCGACGAGUAUCGGGCAAUCAAUGCAAUAUGCUCAAUGAUCAACCGUCGGCAACCGGCCGACAAUCCUGCCCACAGGGCUCCACCGACCGUAUAGGUCAUCGACUGUAAAGAAGCACAAGAAACGACUCAACUCAGGUCAAAUAGGAUGGAACGACUCUACAUCCUCAUACUGUAUGCAAGUACUGACUAAUCAAGUCACUGGGAUGGAACAACUCAACAUCCUACCAAAAGUAUGAAGAUACUGAUCAAUAAGUCAACUGAGUAUAUAAUAUAGAACUAGCCGUCGGCCACUAGCCGACAAUUCCUACCCGCAGGUAACCCGACCUCAAGGUCAAUCAAACGACAAGAAUCCAGAACGACAGACUAGGUCACAAGGUCAAGAUGACGGAUCUGUGAAGACUAUAAUCAUUCCGUCGACAACUAGCCGACAAUCCCACUCUCAGGAUAUACCGACCUCAAGGGUCAUCGAAACAACAGAAUCAAGGAACCGAUCGAGUAGAUCAGAUUACAGGAACUAGAAAUCGACCGACUAGGUCACUAAUUUCACAGAUGGUCACGGAACCUCUACUAUAAACAUGAUAUAAGAUAUGAAGAACAGCAAGUAGAAGCAACAAGAAAAUUUGGUAUAAAACUACUCUACUCCUACACAGAUACUAAUCAUUGCAAACAACGAAGUAGAGUAAGAUGUAGACGAUAGAGGUGCAAAGGCUCAUAAGCUACACUAGCAUAGUAAUAACAGAGAACAGGGAUAGAAGAAUAUCACGAGCGGUGCACCACUGUACGACGUCGGAUCGAAGUACCCACCUGUACAACUGUCGGUCUGUCUCCUGACUGCAAAAGACGUCAACCGACUAAGGAGGUCCACUGGGUUAGUGUCUAACCCACAACUAAAAAACACCUAAAAGCAUAACCCACAACUAUCCACGGAGAUCGUUUCCCAAUUACCGAUUAUCUAACUCGCCGGAAGUCCCGAAAACCACACCGGACGCCGUCGGACCACUAAGUGUCCCGAAACUCACCGACUCAUGUCACGAGUCACCUGCUGCCCCAAAACACUCCAAUUUGGAUGUUUUGGCAGUAAACACAAGAUCACAACACUACACAACUAUCACCGGAUGAUUGUACGAAUCGCGGUUCCGGAAGUGUCUAUUUCGACACCGGAACCCAAGUCGCUACACCAUCAUCACCGAACCCACAAUGUGAUGAUGGUGACCAGCAACAAGGCUCACGGACUACACAAAUAGCUACGAAGCAUGUCGGAAUAUUCCCAACCAAACCGCGUUCCGUCGGGGAUUUUGCGACCAACGCCGAAAAUACAUAUUACGAUCUUCUCAAAGGUCUGGGCCUUGGACAAUCAGUCGAGGAUCACCCACAGCUCACCCAUGCUGCAACAGCGCCACGACAAGUCAAAUUGUCAUAAAAGCCCAUCCGAUUCCAAGAAAUCACAUUAUUUCAUGUGUUUUUCGGGCUUUUAUGGUCCGUCUAUGCAAACCAGAGGUCAAUCGGUCGAUAGACACUACUACAGGUUCGAUGUGCGGAGGCCGUGCUCAUCCUUUCGGAGCAAUUCCGCUACUGUACGGAGCGCACGAGCGGCGCGAAGUUCAGCGAAUAAGCCCGCACAGCGCGAAGAUCUACCUAAAACCUGCUAACCGGGCAUCCCUAAUCCUCGCAGAGGUGAGCAUCGUGUUCGGCACGAACCAGGAUCACCGUGCUCACCUCCUGGGUGUCGGGAGUCGUCGGUUCACCCGAAAGUGACCGGAAAGUGCAAUCACAGUGCAGGAAAGCUAAACUAAGCUUACCGGAGCUAGCAGGGACGGGUGGCGGCGGCGCCGACGGCGGCAGCGGCCAGGGGUUGGUUGCGGAUAAGGUUCCGAGGUGCCGGGGCUCGCGUCACAGGCACGGAAGGAGCGGCGACGACGAUCAAUGAUUGCCCUAGCACCAAACCCGUGGGAGCACGGGUCCAUUCCGGCGGACGGCGAGCUCCGGCCGCGGUGUCUCCGGCGAUUGACGGGUGCGGGCGGCCAGGCGGAGCCGGUGCUCACGCCGGCCGGGGCGAGAGGCGGCCGCAGCGGCGCUGGACAUCCCGAGCCCGCGCGGUUCACCUCGGGCUCCAAAGGCAGCGGAGCCACGGCGGCGACCGGAGGACGGUCGGGGCGUGCGGGGUCCCCUGGAGCCGGAGGGGAGGAGGACGGCGGGAGUAGUCCCAGGGGCCUGCUGAGUGAGGAUGAAAGCCGCACACUCAGCUCGGCCUGGCUCGGUCUGGGAGGCAGCAAGCAGCAGCGGCGGCGAUGGCGCUGGCGGGCGGGCGAUCAGUCGGGAGGUGCGUGAAGACACGGGCGACAGCCGAGCAAGGUGUCUAGAUGGAAAAGUAGCCUCGGUCGGCUCUAACCCGAGAGAAAGAGGUUUGGAGAGGGAGAUGGAGAAUAGGGAAGAAGAAAGUGGCUGCCCGCGGUGCCCGGCCGAGCAACGGUCCGCGGCGAGCCGAGGGAUGCGCUGGCCAGGUCAGCGGUGACAAGGAAGGUGGCUAGGGGUGGCUUAGGUCUAGGUUAGGUUUCAUGCUAGAAAACCUAGAUACCAUAAAUAAUAAGGUGAACUUUGCAACUAAGUCCACCAACUCAGUUUUUUACUAAGUCUUCACAGCGCGUGUAAAACACGGAACACCCCUCCACGAUGCGAUUCCACGCGAACGGUUUACAAAAAUAUCCGCGACUUUUGCGAAAUUACCGUUUGCCAUCGCCGACCUCUCAGCGAAACUUCGUAAUUUCCGGAGAUCCGUCAGUCGGAUUUUCGAUUCCGACGUACCAAUUGCGUUCAGCACGUCGGGACACGAAUCUGCAUUUCGUUUCAUCGAUUUGACCCCGAUUCACGACGAAAUCCGUCCGCUCUCAAUUUUCAGAAACCACAACAUAAUACCAAUGUAGUAAUCUCGCUAAACCUUUAAUUCAAAUUCAAAUUCCAAAUUUGGCUCCUACCACCAGUAGGUACUAGAAACGUCUCACUCAACUCUAGGUCACAUGCACAGAGUACGAGGAGCUUUAAACUGCACGAAUAGCACAGAACAAAAACCCUCUUUUUGAUAAAACUCCUUUUUCUCGAUAACCGUGCAUCAGAAUCCGAUUCUGUCAGCGCCAGUGGUUCCAGUAUAGUCGAGAGGUUCGAAACGAGCUAUUGGACCGCUAGGAACGGAGUCCGAUACGAGUCAGAAGCCAACUUCACACCGUGGCUUCUCCGGAAAAUCGAGUUACUAUUCACUUUAAGUGAAACUUGGAAAUCCUAUAACUUCUCCGUUUUAACUCGAUUUCUCCCAAAACUUGACGAGUGCUUUUGUUAUUAAAUUACACACAUAAACAUCGUCAACAGAGAGUUUAGUUGCACUGUAAAAAUCUCAGUCCUUACAUAGUACCUUAAGAUAUCUUAUAUUGAUACAAUCUCAAUGUUUGGUUCAACAUAAAAAUAAAUAAGGCAUAUCAAUAAGUUUAUCAUAAUAUCCUUAUUAAUAUGGGUUAGUGUUAUAUGUAUUUUACAUAGAAUAUAAUAAUAAUAAAUAAAUAUCAAAAUUCAAAUUAAGGAUGUAUUCUAGUUCAUUAAAAUCAAUUUUUCAUGAAAAAAAAAAUUACCACGAAAGGAGGCGGGUUUUGAAUUUUCCACGUUUUGUGGAAUUAGGAGAUGCUAUGAAAAUUAUAUAUUUAUCUCGAAUUAGGUUACCAUACUAUUAACAGCACUAAGUUAUUGAUGUUAUUAAAUUUUUCGCUCUUGGAUAAAGGGACGUGCGGUUAGGAAGAUAGUAGUCCUUAGGAUUGAGUGGAUGGUUGGUUAAAUAGUAUAAUCUAACAGAUGAAAAAGGUCAAAGGGAUAAAUCUAAUGGCAGAAAGUUUAGUAGCACCAAGCGCUUGGGGAUAUUGAUAGUGGUGUCAACGAGCCGAACACGAGUGAGCUGAGGAUGGCUCGUGCUCAGCUUGUUUAAUAAAUAAGCCGAACACGAGCUGACUCAUUAAAGUAUUGAACCAAAAAAUUCAAUUCAUAUUCAGCUGUUUAUUAACGAGUCGAAUACCAGCCGAACACGAGCUAGCUCAUGAACAACAAGUUAAAAGAAUUAUAAAUGAAGCGUAUAGAAAAUAAAUUUAAGAGAUCUUAUCUAUUUGACUUUAAUCUAAUAGUUGAAAAUUUAUAUAUAAAUGAUCUUUUUAUAAUUAAGUUGAAUUUUAUAUUUAGGUUAAGUUAAAAACCAAUUAUUUAUUUAUAUAUAUAAGUAUAAAAUUAUAUAUAUAUAUAUAUAUAUAUAUAUAUAUAUAUAUAUAUAUAUAUAUAUAUAUAUAUAUAUAUAUAUAUAUAUAUAUAUAUUCGAGUUAUUAUCGAGCUGAACACGAGCGGACUGACCCGAGCUCAUGUUCGGAUCAUUUAUUAAACGAGCAAUUCGAUCUUGAGCUUAUUUUAAGUCGAACACGAACUAACUCGCGAACUGAAGUGCCACCUCUAGAUAUUGAUAGCAUAAUGGACGGACUCUUAUUUCUGCCAUGUGAGAUUCUCGUCACAAACUAAAUAUAUGAAUUCUCAAUUUUUAAUCUAUAUUCCUAAAAUUGUAUAAAAUAUCGUGAAUCAUGCUGACCUUCAAAAGCACUCUAGCUUAUUGCCUUUUUCUUCAAUAGCCAAAAAAAAAAAAAAAAAAAAAAAAAAAAAAAAAAAAAAAAAAAAAAAAGAAGGUAUGCAGGAUCGUAACUUCAAAGCUGUGGCUUGAAAUUAAAGUUUACAAAGUCGGGAAUUUAGCCUCAGCUAAGAUACCAAACUAUCUUUCUCUCUCUUUCUGUGAGAUUCCUGAUGUUCUGUUGUGGAGGCUUAUCGGCAGCUCUGAAGAGUGUCGGGACAAAUCCGAGUCACGUUGGCGUCAAAUAGACGCAAAACGGACUCCGUGCGGCGCGAGAGUAGCUUAUAGCGAAGAAAUCUGCAAAACAGUAGAUUUUUCUGCUUACUGUACCGGUACAACCAGCACGCUGUACCGGUACAACCAACGCGCACCAACUUAUCUGCUCUCCGGUUGGCUCUUGUACCGGUACAGGAGCCCGUGUACCGGUACAAGAGGGUAGGUGUGAGGGUAAUUGUGUAAAUCUCCAUCUCGUUUGUAUCUUCUACCAGCUCCCUCUCUACAAAAGUUGCUGUGAACUGAGAGAGAGAGGUUUCCUUGUGCUCUUUCUUCCCCUCUCACUCUCCUGUCCGGUUGAAGGCAAGGAAGAAGCUCGAUUGGAAGGUUUGUCGCUGACGUCGUGCCGCGGGACCGUUCGAGCACACUUUUGACGUCGGGGUAGCGCGAGGGAGCCGGGCGAGCGUUGGUUUUCGCCGUUCUUGCUGUCGCAUCGGUGCUUGGCGUUGUCGAGGUGGGUAAUUCAGCAUUUCCAUUUGUUUUGGGCAAGUUCUUACUACUUCGAACUCAAGUGAUGCUGUUUUGCUGAAAUUCAUCGUCGACUGUUAGUAUUCAGCUCGUACUCAACGCUGGAGCAUCGGAUUUCGACGAGACUUGGUUCGCUGAAUUCAGGACUUCGAGAAGAAUCCACGAAGCCCUUACUUGCGGGAUUUGGUGAAGGUUAGCUUGGUCGAAACUCUGUUUUACUCUGCUGCUGUGGAUUUUGGACUGAAUUGAGGAUUUUCGAUGUUUAUAGUUGGAGAUAGCUUGAUUUCAGGACUUUGACAUUUUCAGUCGAUCCAGCAGGUUGUUUCGCAGCCGAGGGAGUUCCGUGCUGCCAGGGAUUAGCGACCGAGGUGGGUUACAUCGGUUUUGAUUUCUAAGUUCUAAUCGUUGACAUGUAUAAAUUUCGAUUUUGGUAUAGUAUAUUUUAGCUCGAAUUUAUGGAUUUUAUUAUAGAUUGCAAAUCUGAAUUUGGAGUAUGUGGUAAUAAAUUGAGUAGUUUAUACAUGUUGGAUUUGAAAUUGGAAUUAGAAGAAAACCUGCGUUUUGGACCUGUCACUUGUGUAAAUUGCCUGAUUUAGCUCUAGAAGCCGUUAUGAAAUUGUACUGUCGCAGUAUCCUCGAGACGAGUACUCCAGAUAGUUUAGCAUGCAUUUACACUCGUGCUGGUACGCCGAGUGGAUUUUUAUAGGGUCGUUUGGAUUGUUUCGAACUUUUGGGCGCCGUUGGGGUUGACGGUGGGCCCGGUUCGCCGUUUUGGCGUCAGAUUGUGCCGAGAGCACGUUACUUGUUGGUUAUUAGACCAGUUAGAGUCGGUUACUUAGAGUUUGGCUUGACAGAGCCUGAUUGAGCUCGACAGAGAUACGCUGCAUAUUCGGUUGGGUAGCGCCCACGAGUGCCACUCCGGAGACGGGUUUUGUGCUUUUGUGUUGGUAUCGCUCAUGCCGGUUGGACUUGCUCUCCACGGACCAGUUAGUGUGGAGAUAGCUGGAUAGUUGCAACUGAACCGGGACGGGUGUGUUCACGGUCCCAUGGACGGGUAUGUUACAGUCCCGAUUGGAUUGGGUUAGAUUGAAUAUUUUCCUACAGUUGGUUAGCGUAGAGCAUGAUAGUGUAGUGAUUCAUAGCGGUAGAGUUCAUUCCUGCAUUUACUACUACCUUUGCUCCCUACUGUAGACUUAGUGGGUGGACCGAUAUUGUUUUGGGCGGCACCCACUAAGGACUACUUGUUUUUACAGUAGUUCUCACGCCCAGUUGUUACCCCUGUUUGGUAGAGCCACAGGUUUCGGCUGCUGCGCCUUCUGCGGAUCAGGAUCGAGGCAAGGGUGUCGCGAGUUAGAGCCCUACCCGCCGAGCAGAGCUAGAGCCACCCUACUGCAGGUAGUUGUUUUAUUUUGAGCUUAUGUACAUAGUACUUAAUUCGCCAGUGCGAGUAACUCUAUAUUUUGAUUUUUGAACUAUGUAUAUGAAGCUCAGUUUGUUUAGCUUUUCUUUGCUCGAGCAGUUUUAUACUACUGUUUGUAGUAUUGUAUGUUUACAGAUACAGCUGUCACUUCAUAUACAGGAAAAAUUUCUUUGUAUACGACGGAUUUGUCGGCGUGCCCGAGAAACAAGACAUCCGGGGCGUGACACUUUCGCUCCAAAUAAAUUAAAAAAAAAAAAACAGAUUGAAUCCGUCCAAACUCUAACCCAUAUGUUUUGGGUCUAUUUAUUUUUGUGAAUUUCAAAGGUUGAAUUUGUGACUUUAAAAAUAAUCGUUGGCAUCAGCGCUUGUUUCAACCUCGAAGUCAGAAGAUUAUUCGAACUCUCACUUAUAAUCGUACAAAAAAUCGAGUUCUUCCGAACCCCCAUCUUAGACUCAAAACUUCGACCCUCCAAAUUUUACUCUCGUGUUUUACUAGAUAAGUUUGGCCACAUACCAUUGUGAUUACACUACAACAAAUUUUACAUUUAAGGACGCUUUAAAUUAUAAUUAGCGACGCUUUAAAGCGUCGGGAAAAAUAACGCCGACGCUUUUAAAAGCGUCGGAUAAAGAGUCGUUAAAUAAACAUGUCGGGACAUAUAUACCGACGCUUUAACAUAGCGUCGGGGAAUUUUUUUUCGACUCUUUUUAGAGUCGGUAAUGUGUUAAGUGCCGACUCUAAAAAGAGUCGUUAAUUUAAACAAUUGCCGACACUCCAAAGUGUCGGUAUAUUAAGAAAUACCAACAUAUUACCGACUCUAAAAAGAGUCGUUAAUUUAAACAAUUGCCGACACUCCAAAGCAUCGGUAAAUUAUAAAAUUCCAACAUAUUACCAACUCUAAAAGAGUCGUUAAUUUAAACAAAUACCGACACUCCAAAGCACCGGUAAAUUAUGAAAUAUCAAAUAAACACGUCAAUACGAAAACUUUGUAAUAAUGAACAAAAAUAUUAAAAUGUUUCAACAUUAAUAAACUUCAAUCAACAAUGCUAAUCCUAAUCAAGAAAUCAAAAAUUCUCUACUAUUGUAUAAGCAGGGAAUAAUAGGAACAAACAAAAAUUUCAUCACUUUUUUAUUCACAAUGAAUUAUUAAUCGUAUAGCGUAUAUAGUGUUUUCAGUUUAAACGAAUGCCCUCCGGUAAUGUAUAUGUAGCCGUAGACAAAAUGUGAUGAAAAGAGUUAUAUGAGCAGAGCUCAACUGCUUUAGGAUUCCCACCAAAAUAGUAUAUGUCAGACAAUAUUCAUCCUGCAAUAGCAAACAAAAAUUAAAGUUAGUACAAAUACUCAAUUCACCAAUCUUAUCGUUGUAGAUAGAAUGUGAGGAAAAAAGAAUUUGUGAUUAAAGCUCUAGAUAGUUAGGUUACGAUACAAAUAGACGCAUAUCUUUAAUUGUAGGAUCAUCAAAUUUCUUUUCAAAAACUCAAACCCAAAGCUUAUUAACAAUCUCAUAGUGCAAGGUUUAGAUAAUCAAGCUUAAGGAAUAGUACAUCAGAGAAGUUUCAGAACCAUUAAGAAGAAGCUACACCGACGAAUCUGAAAUGAUGCUAACUGCUGCAUGCAUUACCGAAAAUCUUGUAUUAUCUAUUUACUUUAAAACGCAUGAAGAAGGGAAUAACAACAAAUCAGAUACUUUGUUGCUUAAUUGGGGCUGUCGGAUGAGAUAUGUUCGUUUCUUAAUACUGAAAACAGAGGAACUAAUUGAAAAGGAAAAAUAUUUCGUGCAACAACAAGGUUGGCUUGCAUAUUGUUUUAAGGAAAAUUUUUGUGCUCAAUUUCACAAGAACAUGCAGAAAAAUAAAAAUAAUACUAAUAGCUUCAAUAUGCACUAUCCAAACAAUCAUUACUCUCGAAAAGGAGGGAAAAAAAAUAGACAUUAAUUAGAUGUACCAAGGCUAACAUAAUCUUUAUCAAUAUUCUAAGCAGAAGCUGAAUGUUAGGCAGCACCUACUUGAACUUGCAUUAAACUAAAAAUAAAGGCAGAUUCUCAUGUGACUAGGACCACAGCUCCAUAAAAGAUGUGCUCUCAACAGUAUUUGCUCAGGACCCACCUCUUAAAUUCUUCUUUAAAAGACAAAGAUAUUGUAAUGCACUCAACGAAAAGAAUGGAAGCUCAAUUAACUUCUGAAGCAUCAAUGCAGUAACAAUUGACACAUAAAAUCAGAAAGUUGGGCCAAUCAAUACACUACAAAGAAGAUGUUAGAAAGAAAAUCAUGUGUAGAUUUUCCAAACCCUUGUUGCCCGGUCGAGAUGGACCAAAAAAUCGCUUCCAUUUCUAGAAUGUGAAAUUAAGAAUACUUCACACAAGGAGAUUCGUAGAUAAAUAGAAAGUAAUAGAUAAAAUUAAAAGCUCCUCACAUCUCCCUGGAAAUGCACUUUCAAAACUACUUACAGAUCAAAACUAAAUUAGCCAUACUUUUAUACAUACAUACAUUAACAUACAUAUUCUACGGAAGUUUGUAAGCAUGCACCUGAUGAUGCUCACGUCGUUGGAACGUUGCCCUAGGUAAAAUUGUCUGAGAGCCCCUUCAAUUAAAAAGAAAAGAAUCUUAGAAUACUUAAUCAAAUGCUAGCUUUGUUCAAUAAAAAUUCAUUUACCUCAUUGCAGUUUUGAGGCGAUUUGAACUAAUAGCUGCUUCAUAUCUUCCAACUGUGAUUUAUAAUUCUUUUGCAUCCCUUGUAAUUUCUGCUCAUAAUUUUGCUGCAUCUCUAGCAACUUAGAGUCAUAGUUACUUUACAAUUAGGCCCAAACCUAUGAACUUAAGCUGUUAAUAUAAAUGGGUUCCGGCAAAAAUACCGUAUCAUUUAAAAAUUUUCUAGACCAGUAUUUGAAUUUGAAUCCUAGCCGAAUAGCGAAAUCUCAAACCCAAAUCCAACCUAUUUCUACGUCCGUUAACAGCUAAUAAAUAAUAAUCAUGAAUUUAGAACACUUAAUUAGAUAAAUUUUCUUUUAAUUGUAUAUAUACAUAUGUAGGAGUAAGUAGGAGAAAAAAAACCUUUUGCUAUCGGAUAAUUAUCCUGGGAGAGAGUAAACACACUUGGGGCCACAACUUGAAUAAGUGUUUUUCUUUUAUUAAAACUUAAAUAAGCUCACACUUCUCACUAGUUGCUAUGACAGGAUCACUUCUUGUAUAUAUGCUGAGCUCCACUAUAGUUGCUCUCCUAUUGUUCUAUAGGAUUUAUCAUAAUGAGCAUCUUUUGAGGAAUCUAAAAAUAUAUUAUCAGCACUUCCAUCUUUAAUCCCCUUUUUCGCAGAUUUGCCUUGCAAAAUCAUUCAAACACCCCAUCUCAUCUACUAAUUUAUCCUUGUAAAUUUCAUAAUGAAUAUGCAAUUCAAAGAUAAAGCUAUAGUAAAAGAAUAACAAAACCUAUUCAGUGUGACAUCCAUCUAACUUUUAUUCCAUUAGAAAGUAUAUAUUCUUCAAAUUUGCAUACACAAAACCUAUUACUUUUGAGUGAGCAAACAUUUUGCACCAGUUAAAUAGUUGUUAUUCACUGAAUUACCACUUGAUGAUCAUCUCAACUAAGGAUUAAAGAAUGAAUGUGAUCUCAUCUAGCCAUCAAAGCAAUAAUGCGAUUACAGAAAACAAGGGAAUGCAAUUACAAAAAACCACAAAAGCCUUAAUUGUAAUUCCAAUGCCAUUUUACCUAAACUGUAGGGAGCAAAAGCCCUGAUAAUGGGGAAAUUUUGAAACAACCUGCAGGCCAGUUUUCUAAAUGUACUAGAUAGAUAAUUUGGUACCAUUAGUCAAAUAUACAGGGACUGCAUAUGUUUUCCAGUAUUUCAAUAUAGCAGCCUAAAGUUCAAGUACGUAUCAGCUGGAACUUGGAUCUCUCCCAGUUAAUUGAUCUGAACUAUGAAAACUAAUUAAGAUGUAUAAUUAUAUCCUAGUACUCCUAUAUAUAUAUAUAAUAGCAACAGAUCUAAACUAUGAAAUUUUCCAACAGAGGCACAAUCAAAUAGCAAAAAAAUAGAUAAAAAUACUUAAAUUGGCAUAAAUCCAAACAUAAUUAUUGAAAAAGAUAACGAUCAACGCACCUAAGGAAGCUUUGAAGCAAUGCGAUCAAAUCCAAGCGACCAAAUAGGGAAUCGCAGUUUAACUCGAUCGGCUCAACAGAUCACUUCGAAAUUAUUCAUAAACCGGAGAUUCCUAUAUUUUUCUGAAAAUCGAGAUUGUAUAUGAGAGUUACAACAUUAUUAUAUUGACAGGAAGUAUAAGAUAUCAUUCAACUGACUUGUGACUGUCACAAAGGAGAUUAACAGCAAUUAGCAAGGACCUCACUAAUGAAGAAUAGAAUCUUACGAAGAAGCUUUAGCUUCCUCGAAGGAAUGCAAGAAAGAGCACAAGAGAACAAACAGGACAAAAAAUUACUAUUGUGUUCAGUAUUCACUAACAAUCGUUACUAUGUUUGGACAUCACAAACAGUCUUCGAGAUACUUACCUUCUUUUAUUAAUAUUCGGGGUUUUAAUCUCUCCAGGUAAUAUAAUCACUAUCUAAAGAUACCUUGGUUAAAGUCUAGAGACAGGCAUACCUCACUCCAUCACCAGUUCUGACUAGCAUAAACCCUUCACGUUAUAAUCAUGUCAUAGAAAUCUACUAAAGAGUCUCCUGUUUCUUCUACUUUGUCAAAAAGAAGCUCAUUGACAUGCUUUAAUGCCCUACAUAAACAUUUGCAGUCUAACCUAUUCAAAAACAUGUUGAUAAGAAUCCCUUUUUUUUUCUCUCUGUUUGAAUAAAGAGGCCCAGUGUAAGUUCCUGCUUCUGAAUAAAGAAGUUAAUAAAUACCUAUCAAGGAGUGUUGACAUUUUGUUGUGCUAACAUAUACAUUCUGAACAAGCUUAUCUUCUCAAGGUCUCUAAGCAAAUAAUCACAGAUCUGAAAUUAUUUCCCAUGGCCUAGCUGGAAUUGCAAAAAGAUAGUGGAUGGUGCUUCAAUUAAAAAACACUGGUAAGGGAUUAUACCAGUAUCGAUGGUGAUCUCUCUUGAUCCGUCGUCCGAAUUGGAGCUUAAUUUUGCCGAAAACAAGCACAAGAAGCAGCAGAGGAAGAGGAGCGAUGUGCCGCAGUUUGGGAUUGAGCUUGGAUUUGUGAAGAGGACCACCUGUGACAGAGAUGUUAACUGGGAUACAAUCAGAAAAAUCUAAAUACCUAGCUGAAAAUAACAAAUCCAGCUACAACACAACCAAGCAAAAAUUAAGAUAUAGAAUAAAAAUUUACACUCUACAAGUACAAUAUCCAAUCUAACACUAUAUAUAGAUCAAAUAAGAAGAGGAGAUCAAAAAAUUAUAUGAAAUUUUCCAACAGAGGCAAAUAGCGAAAAAGAUAGAUACAAAUACUUGGGAUGAAUCCAAACAUAAUUAUUGAAGAAUAUAAUGAUCGACGCACCUAAGGAAGCUUUGGAGCAGUGCGAUCAAAUCCACGCGAUCAAAUAGGAAAAUCGCAGUUUAACUCGAUCGGCUCAAUCACUUCGAAAUCACUCAGAUCUUCGAAAUUUGAUCGCAGCAACAGAUCGAAGAGAGGGCGAGGGAGAUGAAGAACAUUUCGGAGCCCUAAAUGAUCAAUCGGAUCUCCGGAGGACAUCGAAAAAUUAGGGAGAAUUAAAAGGAAAAAAAAAAAGAAGAACCACGUAGCUGAGAAUUCGAUUUGAAACUUUGAACAGGACAACAUAGCGAGUAGGAUUAACUCUAAUUUCGCAAAAAUAAAUUAUACAGAUCGCAACAACUUCAUUUGGAUCAAGAAAUAGUAGCAGAAACUCAAGAGCCGUCAAACUAAAAAAUCACUAAAAUUUUUUCCCAAAUUUUAACUUAAAAUCCCCAGAUUCUUCAGGAUCGGCGUUCUUCGCACUCAAAAAGCCUAAAAAAGGACGAUAAAUUGAGGAAAAAAAGAGCCCAAUCAUCGAAUGAGAUUGAGAAACUGAAUCGAGAGAAACAAGCGAAAUCAUAUGCAAAAUUGAACCUAUCAGAUCGUCGAAUCACUGUGGAAUCACCCUCGAUUCGAAUGGCUUCGCGACAUUUGGACGCAGAUAGAAAAAUCGAACUCUCUCUCUCUCUCUAGUUCGCUUGAUCGUUCGCUCUCACUCGAUCUCCGAAAUAGGAAAAUCGCAGUUUUUCGCCUCGAUCGAGCGCCGGGUUGAUGAAGCUGGGGCGUGCGAUGAAGAGGAUCGAGCUCCGGGUUGAUGAAGUGCGUGGGUUUACAUGGGAGUGGAGAGAGAGAGGGCGUGGGUUUACAUGGGAGUGGAGAGAGAGAGAGGGCGUGGGUUAAUUGAUGAAGCUGGGGCGCUGGGUUGAUGAAGAGGAUCAGACAUGUGAACCUCUUCAUUGUGAGAGCACUCAUGGUUGCUAAUUAAUUGGAAUAAUUAAAAAAUAAUUUAAUAUUAAUUUAAUUAUUAUAUUUGUUGAGAGCUUGUAAUAUUCUCUCGUGUUAAGAUCUAAAUACUUUUUUAAUUAUCUUGGAUUUUAAUUAUCUUAUUUCUAAAUUAAAAAAGCUAACUAAAAUUAGCUUCCUGUUAGCCAUUUACAUUUGUUGAGAGCUUGUAAUAAUUUAAUAUUAAUGAAGUUCAGACGGAAAAAUUUAAAAAUAAGCUAAUUAAAUCAUAAUUAAAAUAAUUAAAAAAUAAUUUAAUUACUUACGACGCUUUGGAAGCGUCGUCAAGAUACUUGUUUAUUGGCGACGCUUAAUCAUAGCGUCGGCAUGUAUCAAGUAUUAAAGACGCUUGAAUAAAGCGUCGUCUAAAAAACGUCGGUAAAAAUAUAUUUUGUUGUAGUGUUACGAUCGUAUUUGUACUUAUAAAUAGUUUUCCAUGUUGAAAUUUCCGAAUUGAUGAUCAAUACUUUUAAACAAAAUUUUAAAGAUUUAAAUAUUUUAAAGAUCAAAUUUUAUAAUUUUUUGAUAUUAUAUAUUUUACAAUCAAAGAGCCUCAAAAUUAACAUAUUUAAUGGUCAGUAUGGGACGUCCAUAUCAAUUGUGUAGAAAAAUUGUAAUCGGUUGAAUUUUGAUAGAAAAUUUUAUUCACUGUAUAGAUCAACAUUGAUAACUCUGAUCUUAAAUUUAAAAACUUCAUCUGUUAUUUUUAAGAGAUUGUUUGAUUUUAUCCGUUCAUUUUAUAUCCGUUUUAUGAAUUUUAUUAUAAAUUAAAAAAAACCAUCAAAUUUAUUUUUUAAAUAUUUCAAAUAUUUUAAAUUAUAUAUAAUGAUGUCGAUUGUCGAUUAUAAAGUUUAAUCAUAAAAAAUAAUUGGAUAAACUUCAAAUACCAUUUCUAUAGUUUCGCACUUUCUCACUUUAGUACCAUGUUGUUUAAAGUGUAUCAAAUUAGCGUCCUGUUGUUUCAUUUUUAUCUUUUCGCCAGCUUUUUCGUUAAUAUUUUGUUAAAUUAUAUACAAAAGAACUUCAAAUGCCCCACCUAGAUUUACCGAAUAUUUACUUUAGUACUCUUUAGUUUUAACUUUGUCAGUGAUCUAACGAAAAAAAUUAGUGGAAUCAAUACUAAAAAAAUAAAAAUAAAAAUAAAAUCACGGCGCACUAAAUUGAUACACUUUAAAUCACAGAGUACUAAAGUGAGAAAAUUUGAAAUCAUGAGGGUGGUAUUUGAAGUUUUUUCAAAAUAAUUUAUAAAUAAAACAAAAGCCUACGUACUUGUAAUAGGAGUACACUAAUUACCCUACUCCAUUUAAGAUUUAGGUGGAAUAUCACUUCCGAACGAAGCACGGUGAAGUGACUUUACGGUCCACGAACCCAAAGUGUGGAGUUUUUGUCUGGACCAGGUCUAUGGACCAGACAACUAAAUCGGUCAAAUGGGACUAGGGGUGGCAAUCCAGCUCGCUAUUCGCGAGCCAGCUCGUGUUCGGCUCGAAAUGAGCUCGAGAUCGAAGCGCUGCGUUAGUAAACGAGCGCCGAACACGAGCUGAAUUUUUCGACUCAUUUAAUAAACGAACCGAACAUGAGCUGGGGUCAGUUCGCUCGGUGUUCGGCUCGAUAACAGCUCGAAAUUAAUAUUUUUAAUUUAUUAUAAUUAUUUUAAUUAUAUUUAUAUAUAUAAUAUAUAUUUAUAUAUAAUAUAUAUUUUUAUUAUUUAAUUUUUAGCAAAAGAAAAAUAUAAAUGCGGAGCUUAAUUAUAAAAAGACUCAUUUAUAUGUAAAUUUUCAAUUAUUAGAUAAGUUAAGAAUAAGAAUUUUAUAAAUUUAUUUUUUAUAUAUAUUCAAUCUAAUCAUUUUUAACUUAUUGUUUGUUGGCCAGCUCGUGAGCCAGUUCAUGUUCGGCUCGUUUAUUAACGAGCCGAACACGAGCUGAAUUUUUUGACUCGAUCCUUUAACGAGCCGGCUCAUGUUUGGCUCAUUUAUUUAAACGAGCCGAACACGAGCCGGCCCUAGCUCGCUCGUGUUCAGCUCGUUUACACCCCUAAAUGGGACCAGAGAAAAUGGCGCAUGCGAACAAUUUUAGCGCCUAACUUCCGUGUAUAUUUUGUCCGGUCUACAGGACCAGAUCCAGACAGAAAUGUAUCCGGCCUAACACCAACGAGUUGGUUCGUGCUCCACUUGAACCCUCAACAAAGCAAAGUGCUAGGGAUAUCCCAAAAUGCACCCCUUGUUUUCCCAUUACUAUGGCAAAAUCAGCUUUAUCAGAUCUAGCGCCUGGAAAAAUAAUUUCUGCAGAAUUAAUUUUGAUUUGCAUAAAUAAUUUUGGUUAAAAACUAUAGAGUAUUUAGCGGAGUCUAAAAAAAUAAAUUUUUAAAAAUAAUUUUGUAAAGCUGUUUGGUAAUUUUUUUUGCUGUUUACAAAUAAUAGUUUUUAAAAUUUUAAAAUUUAAAACUUAAAAUUUGAUUUUAAAAUUAGAAUUGGAUUUUAAGAAGUAGAUUUUAACUUCUUUUAACUUUGGAUCUCUAAAAUUAGAAAAUUAAUUCUAAAAAUUAAAAUCGGAUUUAAAAAAGGAGCUACCAAGUGCUCUAUUAAAAAAAAAAAAAAAUUUUGGCUCUAAAAUUACUUUCUAAAAUUUAGGCUAAACACCUACCUAUUUUGAGUUUUGAUAAUUUGCGAGCAUUAUUCAAAUUUUAAAAGUAACAAAAAAUCGUAUAAAUUAUUCAUCAUUGUUCCAAAUAAUAUCCUCUAUAAUUGAUUUUUUGCCCAAAAAAUAUGUUUUGUGCGAAUUUUUGUUAUUUUAAAAAAUGGGAAAACUUCAAAAACUCCCAUUGUGGUUUUGCAUUUUUUCAUUUUAGUACCCUGUGGUUUAAAGUGUAUCAAGUUAGUACCCUGUGGUUUUGCACUUUCUCACUUUAGUACCUUGUGGUUUAAAGUGUAUCAAGUUAGUAUUCUGUGAUUUUAUUUUUGUAUCAAGUUAGUACCAUAUGGUUUUAUUUUUAUAUUAAGUUAGUACCCUGUGGUUUUAUUUUUCUCUUAAUAAAAUAUUGAAUCACGGGGUACUAAAGCGAGAGAGUGCGAAACAUCAGAAUACUAACUUGAUACACUUUAAACCACAAGGUACUAAACUGAGAACGUGUAAAACCACAGGGUACUAACUUGAUACACUUUAAACCACAUGGUACUAAAGUAAAAAAAAAAAGAAACCACAAGAGGGGUAUUUGAAGUUUUUCCUUACAAAAUUUGGACAGUAAUAUGAAGUACAGUAACCUUAAGAUGGGUCUAAGAUUUGUUUUUUUUAUUUUAUUUUAUUUUUAUUUUUUUAUUUUAGUAUUAAAACUCCAGAGGCAUGAUGAUAAGUUUAGAACAAAUGUUGUUUUGCUACUGUCUUUAUUUCUAGCGGCAACAUUUUUUAUAUAGAGUACUUCAUAAAAGAAAAAAAUUAAAUUUUUUGCUGCAACAAAAAAUAAAAGACUUAAUUACACUCUAUUAUGUUAUACUUUACAUAUUUUUUUAAAAAUUCUUAUAUCAUACUAGUAGUUUUUUUCAAAUGUACCACUUAAUUAUUCUUUUUUUAAAAUUUCUAUACUAGAAGCAAUAAAUCUCUAAUUUUAUAUAAAAGCGGUUAAAAAUAUUGGUUAAAAGUAGUAGAAUAUAUAUUUAGGUUAUUUUGACAUGAAAAAAUAAUAAAAUACAUAAAAUAAGAAAAAAAUAAAAAGCAACUUGAUAGAAACUUUUAAUGAGUCUAUUUAUAGAGAUUUAUGUUACAAUUUUUCUUAAUAAAAUUAUUAGAUUUUGUCUAAAGCAAUAGAUGUAUAAGCAGUAGUAAUAUAGAGAUCGGUAAGAAAAAAUAGUUUAAUAACAUCUGUGAGAAAAAAAAUAGUAUAAGUUAGAAAUAUAAAAAUAAAUUUAUAAUAUAGUGUAGAUAUUUAUAAAAGAGUCAUAUUUCAACACACCAUGUAAAUCUUGACCAAUUAUUUUUCUAAAUAAGUGAUUGAGAUGUCGUGACCAACUAUUAAAGCAUAGGUACCAUUCUCCAUUUAUCUAUCUGAAGAGUAUUUUAAUCUUUGCAGAAUGUUUUGGUUCAUAAAAAAGGUUUUAUCCAAUUAAGGACAUUACAAACUUUUCCAAUAGCUAAAACAAUAAUUAAAAUUCAAACUUACAUCCAAACCGUAAAUUCAAUUUGGAAACAACAUAAGAAACUUAAUUAUAAGUCAAAUUCAAAAUUUCAAAUAUAAAACACAACUUUAAGAUAAAACUUUCAGUUCAAAUUCAAAAAUUCAAUUUAAAUCAAAAAUUAGAAUUUAGCUUUAAAGUUAAAAGUACAAUUUAGAUUCAAAAUUUAAAAGUUUGAAUUUAAAUUUCAAAAUUAAAAUUUUACAUUACAAUACCAAAUUCAAAAAUUAAAUUUAAAUUCAAUACUUUUUUUGAGUUGGAUACUUAAUAUAUUGGGUACUCUCUAAUUUGGUAAGUGAACAAAUUAAAUAAAAAAAAUUAAAAUUUGUAGGGCACUAACAAAUUUGGUAUAUAAUACUAAUCCUUUUCCAAUAUUGUGGUGUUAACUAAUCUAAACUGGUAACAUGUUUAGCAAGUUACAUUAUGUAAAACCAAUCAUACCUUUUAUUAAUUAACAAUUAGAUUUAAUAUAUAUGAUGUAUUGAAUCCAUAGUUAGUUAAUUCGGAUUCAGCAAAAAUUCGGUACGGAUAUAAUACGCAUAAAAUUCAUUUUCUAAAUUUUAAAUUUGUUGAAAAAUUCGGCUUAAAAAACGGAUUCGGUAUAAAAUAUAAAAUAUAAGAUAUAAAAUAUAAGAUAAUCUAUAUUUAAAUAUAAAAAUUAUAUAUUUUUUUAUUCAUAUUUUUAAUAAUUCGGGAAUAAUUUGCGAAUAAUUCGCGAAUUUUUCGGCUGGCCCAAAAUUCGCGAAUAAUUCUCGAUCUUUGAAAAAAAUUUGUAAAUGGACCGUUUAAUUUGGAUUUUCAAUAAUUCACGAAUAAUUCGUGAAUUAACUAACAUAGAUUGAAUCUUGCUAAAAUAUAAUAAUAUAAUGGUGUGUUUGAAAAAAAAUUAUAUAAUAUAGUAAAUAAAAAUAAUACUAAAGUACAGUACAGUAAAAUAUAAUUAAGUGGGAAAUGAAAACUAUAUUCCAAGCCUUAAAAAGUAGCUCUUAGGAGAAAAGUGACAAGAAUAUACCAAUGCAAUUUUUUUUUUUAAUAAUAUUUAUAAAUAAUAAUUUACCAAAUAAUACUAGUAAGUGGGUACACUUCGGAGUACCCAAAGCAAAACGCAUCCUCAAAAUUCUAUUAUUAAGGUUUUUUUUUUUAAAUUUUUAAUUUUUAUAUAUCCUACCAUUUUUGCGCUCUCACCAAACUCCAAGCUCGUACUAAAAAUUCAUAUAAAAAAAGCUCUCUCGCGUCAAAAGGUAGGAGAAAGAGCGCGAGAGAGGGCGAGAGAGCGCGAGAGAGGGCGAAAUGGGCGCGAUGCGUUUCGUAGCGGCGGCGAUGUCACUUUGGAUCUGUUUCGGGAUCGUCGGAGUCGCAUCGGACGCGUCGGAUCACCGCUACAACGCGGGCGAUCCCGUUCCCCUCUACGCCAACAAGGUCGGCCCCUUUCAUAACCCUAGGUAAGUGUUUUUCCCACUUAUUUUGGUAAUUUUUUGGUUGCAUCAAGUGCUUGAGAUCCCCCUUUACUAGAUCUGUUGAUGUGCUCCUCGGAUCUGGGGUUUUCGUUUGGUUGUUGUAAUUUGGGGUAAUUGUAGGAGAUCUGGCGAAAAAAUCAAUAUUUUGUUAUGAUUCUUUUGUUAAAAAGGGAUUUUUACAGUAAUUUUAGCUGUAGAAGCAUCAAACCUGGCAGUUACAGACGACCUGGUGCUCGAAAGUUCAAGUUUGUUGAUUCUGAAGUAGUUUGAAUUUGCAAAGAAAGUUUUUUUUUUUUUUUUUUCAUGGUCUGAUGUUGGAUUAAAGAUAUUUUUAUUGUUUGUUCAAGUAGGAAGGAUUAACAUUUUGAAUUAGGGUUUUGUUUUAAGGUGCUUAUUUUGUCUUCUUUAGCUUUGACUAAGAUUGGUGAGGAGAUGUGGUAAAUUUUAGACUUUUUGAUGGUUUAUAUUGCUUUAACUCAGGCAAAUGAGAUAUUUCGAUAGCAUUUUGUGUUGCUGCUUUAGAAUUUCUUUAGUAGAGAGAUACCUUUGAAUCUCGAAGUUGGCAUUAAGUCUCCUUGUCUAAUUAUUGCGCUUGUUGCAGCGAGACGUAUCGGUACUUCGAUCUCCCAUUCUGCUCCCCAGGUGUGCUUCUGGACCUUAUUUUGUUCGAUUUUGUUUUGAUGUUUCAUUAUUUGUAGUUUUAUAAUCAAGUGAAAUUUGUUGACAGAACAUCCGAAUGAGAAAUCAGAAGCUCUCGGCGAAGUCUUAAACGGAGACCGCCUUGUUGACGCUCCCUACAAGCUCGACUUCCGUGUGGACCUCGAUUCCAAGUUGGUAUGCAAGAAGAAGCUCACUAAAGAAGAUGUAGCCAUGUUCAGAAGUGCGGUCACCAAGGACUACUACUUCCAAAUGUACUAUGAUGACCUGCCGUUAUGGGGAUUUCUUGGGAAGGUCAGUAGGGAGGGAAAAACCGACCCUAGCGAGUAUAAGUACUAUCUUUUCAAGCAUAUCCACUUUGAUAUCCUCUAUAACAAUGAUCGGGUGAUCGAGAUCAACGCCAACGCUGAUCCCAAUGCUUUGGAGGAUAUCACCGAGGAUAAGGAUAUUGAGGUCGAGUUCUUGUACUCGGUGAAGUGGAAGGAGACGAAUACGCCCUUUGAGAAGAGGAUGGAGAAGUACUCGCAGUCUUCCUCGCUACCACACCACUUGGAGGUCCAUUGGUUCUCGAUAAUAAACUCAUGCGUCACGGUUCUGUUACUGACAGGAUUCCUCGCCACGAUUCUCAUGCGGGUUUUGAAGAAUGAUUUUGUCAAGUAAGAAUUCUCUUCGUUGUCCUGAAAAUUGAUCUUGAUCUCGUAUUGGAAUGCAGUAGUCCCAACAGUAAUAUUAUAGCGAUAACUGUGGAACAAUUACUUGAUGAAUUACUUUGUCUGCUUUUGAUUCUUCACAUUUUAUCUCAGUCAGCAACGCUCAUAUGUUCGCAAAAAUUUACUAAGCUUCAGGUACUUGAACAUUGAACCAUUCGUAUAGUGUGAUGGGUGAUGGCUUGAAUUACUCUUGAGGCAAACACCGAGUUUGCUUAUUUAUGGCAUCUAAUCUUAUCUUGUGGCAAUAUGAGUCGAUUUAUUAUGUAAGAGAGAGGAUUUUGUUUUUCCUGAAAUAACUGCCUAUUUAACAUUACUAAAUUACUUACAUAAGAACGCCGAGUCUGCUUAUUUAUGGCAUCUAGUCUUAUCUUGUGGCAAUAUGAAUCGAUUUGUUAUGUAAGAGAGAGGAUUUUGUUUUUCCUGAAGUAACUGCCUAUUUAGCAUAACUAAAUGACUUAGGUAAGAGAGAAAUGUCUUAGGUUUUUUCGUGCUGUUCUUUUGAAAUUUGAUGUCUAAUUUAGAAGCAGACUUUUGGAACUGCCACAUAUUUUUAGAUCUACUUUUGUUGGUGGCGAAGUCAUCUGCUUUGAGUGAAAUUUAUAUUGUUUGUUUGUCUUCUUUAUGUUUUUUUUUUUUGAUCAACACAUGCUUUUAGUUACUUGUACAGGUGAAUUUUUAUUCACAUUCCCUUCAUUUUUCCUAUAAUGCUACAGGUACGCUCACGAUGAGGAAUCCGCAGAAGAUCAAGAAGAGACUGGAUGGAAAUAUAUACAUGGAGAUGUCUUCAGAUAUCCGAAGAACAAAUCGCUCUUCGCUGCUUGCAUUGGAUCUGGCACUCAGCUAUUUGCUCUGUAAGCUUCUUGGACUUUUUUUUUUACUGUAUAUAAUAUGGAAAUAUUGAUCUCUGCAUAUAUUGGCACAGAAUGCUUUCUCAAAAUAUGCUUUGUUGUCACUGGUCUUUCUUACAUUGCCUUUUUUCAUUGCAGCACAAUUUUCAUCUUUCUUUUAGCUUUAGUUGGCGUGUUCUACCCAUACAACCGAGGAGCUCUUUUUACUGCGUUGGUUGUAAUAUAUGCACUUACAUCUGGCAUUGCUGGUUAUGUUGCAACCAAUUUCUAUUGUCAACUUGAAGGAACAAAUUGGGUGCGUGCUUACUCCACUUAAAUCUACUGUUAAUGAUUUAGGAUCCAUUUGGCCUAGAUGGAGCUUCUACAGAAGUGAAUUGUUUGAACAAUUAAAUGUCAAUUUGUUCAGUAAAUUUCCUCAAAAGUCUUCUGCUGCAGCAACAAAGAAAAAAUUGGAGUUUUUGCUUUUGGGGUCCAGAAGCUCAUUUUUGCUUUUAUGCAGAGCAAAAGCUCUGGAUAUUUUUGUUUGCUGAAUGCUUGGGAUGCUGCUCCUGGAAGUAGAAGUAGAUAGUCUAUUUUAAAAACCAGGCCUAACAUAUUACUUACAUUGUUUCUUUGUCAUGCAACUUGUAUCACUGUUUCUUUAUUUUUCUCCCUCUCUCUCUUAACACCCUUGUUGUUUUGCAGGUAAGGAAUUUGCUUUUGACAGGAUUUCUGUUUUGUGGGCCUCUCUUCCUGACAUUCAGCUUUCUCAACACUGUCGCCAUUGUAUACAGUGCUACAGCAGCACUGCCAUUUGGCACCAUCCUCGUUAUUCUCCUCAUCUGGGCACUUGUGACUUCUCCUCUGCUUAUUCUGGGCGGGAUUGCUGGCAAAAACAGCAAGGUGGAAUUUCAAGCACCUUGUCGGACAACUAAAUAUCCUAGAGAGAUCCCGCCACUGCCAUGGUAUCGCACAACUGCUCCACAGAUGGUGAUGGCUGGUUUUCUUCCGUUUAGUGCUAUCUACAUCGAGCUUUACUAUAUAUUUGCCAGUGUAUGGGGUCACAAGAUCUACACUAUAUACAGCAUCCUCUUCAUAGUCUUCAUCAUUCUCCUCAUCGUCACUGCCUUCAUUACGGUGGCGUUGACCUAUUUUCAGCUUGCUGCUGAAGAUCAUGAAUGGUGGUGGAGGUAAGCCAUGAAUCCAGUUGCAAAUAUCAAGCUUAGGUGUAUAAGUUAUUUUGUUUCAUUUAUUAUGUUUUCCCCUAAGUUUUAGUGGCUGGUUACCUUAACUUUUUCCUGGUGUCUCAAGCCUUUAAAUGAGUUAUUUUGCCUUUUAUUAUAGACCAUGGUACACCACUAUAUGGAGGCAAACAUACAAAUAGUAAAUUAUUAGGACAUGUUCCCUGGAGGUUUGCAGUUUACGCAUUCCAAAAUAUAAAUUGUUGUCUUUUAGAAAAUAAUCAGACCAUAUGACUUGGAGUUUGAUAGGUAGUAGUAGUAGGUUAGGUGGUAUUGAAACACUAGAUUCCAAUGGCAAAUCUCAAAGUAUAAAGUUUUGUUUGUAUAUCAAACAUGCUUGUCAAUGACCUAAAUUCUCUCUGCAAAAUCUUUGACAGUUGUACAGCUUCCUCGACAUGUUUCCCAUUUACUUACUCUCUAGGAAGGUGAUUAAAUCUAUGGACAUCUGAAAUUCUGUUUUAGGACAGAUGAGAAAGACUUUUUGAUAGUUUGAGCUUUUUGUGAGAGUUGAAACAGAAUGCAUGAAUCAGUAGAAUGAAAUUUGGUACUUCUGUUUGAUUGUAAUUGUAUUGGAAGCGCGAUCCCUACAAAUAUGAGUUUGGAGAUGUCCCAUAGGUAAUUGCAAUGAGAAUAAGCUUGUUGCCUUUAAUUUUUCCUAGUUCUGAAUGACAUGGCAAUUUUGGUGAGUUAAUCAAGCGGGCAUCAAGAUAGAGCUUAAUGCAUUAUCUUCGAGAGAAACAGCUUUCUAUAAGAUUGUAACUGGCUAUAUGCUCUAGCUGCCACGCAAUCAAUGGACAAAUUUAUACUCAAUAGGUGUUUUUAAUUUCUUGAUAAAUUAGGGAGUAUUUAUUUUUAACCCUUGUCAUGUAGAUUUUUGAUGCAUUCUCCUCGUGUUUCUGAUUCUCUACUUGUAGAAAGAACCAACUGCUUUUAUGCCAGCCAUAUUUCAACCCUUGAAGUUCCAUAGACUUUCCCAAUUAAUCUGAUAUUUUAUCAUUUUAUGAGUGAGUGUUAGUUUCAUAUAGUCAACUUCUUUUUUUAUGAUUAUCUGUAUACCUGAGUUUAAUGCCCCCUAAUGGUCAUUAUUAGUUUUCUGAUAAAAGAAAUUAAACUUAGGGCAAAGAGUAUUAAGUAUCAUAGUUGUGAUAUUAUCAAUGCAGACUUUGUGAUUGUUGUUACAUUUCAUAUACAUCAUAAUCAUAAUAUACGCCCGUUUACUUAAAAUAAUUUGUAGAAGUGUUAUUUUCAUAUAGCGUCGGGAUAGGCACUAGCCUAUUAGUUGAAAACCCUCAACUAGCCUCCUACCGAAGCAGAAGUUCAAAGUUGAAGCUUUUGCUUUUGAUACGCCCAAAGCUAAACUAAGGUAACUGCCUGUGAAGAAGAUAUGGGCUUUCUGCUUGUGUUAGGUCUGGCAUCUUAAAAUAGAGCAACUGUUCUAGAAGCUGGACCAAAUGGGCGUUGUGGGCCUGCGUUAACGUUUUGUUUAGAAUUUCUUUUUUGUUUACUCAAGGAUAGUGGUGAUUUGUUGAUGGGAAGAACUAGAUAUGUUUAAAUGCAAAAAUAUCUGCAGUCCACAAAAUAUCUAUAGUUUCUUACUCAUUUUCUCUGAAUAUGACAAAUCACCUCAUAGGUGGAAUGCACCAUCGUCAGAAACCAUUAUUACGAGGGCCUCGCAAUGGACUGAAACUUCCAUGUUGCCAUCACUAAAGAAAAUUCUCGUACUACAAAAUUUUACCACUUGAAAAACUUGUUCUGACAUUAAACUUUUUGGGGCCAUAUCUGAGUCCUCAAUGUAGCAGCAUUGCCGUGUUUUACGGAUGUGUAAAGAUUUAUAAUUGUGAUUUAAAACUGUAGUGCUGGCUCUGUUGCAGGUCAUUCCUCUGUGGUGGAUCAACAGGCUUAUUCAUAUACGGUUACUGUUGGUACUACUACUAUGCGCGGUCGGACAUGUCAGGUUUCAUGCAGACCUCUUUCUUUUACGGGUACAUGGCCUGCGUCUGCUAUGGCUUCUUCCUCAUGCUCGGGACCAUCGGCUUCCGUGCUGCCUUGUUCUUUGUCCGUCACAUAUAUGGAUCUAUCAAAUGCGAAUAAUCUGUUCCCGUAUAAUGCCUGGUAUUAAUCUUAUUCUUGUGCUUAAUCUAACCUUCUACUAUAGCGAGAGAGAUAGAGAGAGAGAGAGAUAGUAUACUUUUCGUAGAAGGUGAUUGGAACUCAAAAAGAUGCGAAACAACUGAUAGAGUUAAAAGGAUCAACUUUUUCUUUUGUCGAAAGCCGAAGCUCGUAUUGCUGCAAUCAAGGGAUUUUUUCUGGUUCAUUUUUUCUUCUAUUUCCUGGGUAACUCUAUGGAGAAGUUUGUACCAUUACAUAUACCUGCAUAAUUUUAGGUUGUUGUAUGUUCCUUCACACCUUAAAUUGACAGUGGAAAUCAACAUCACCUUUUAAGUUGGGGGUUGUGAACUCAUAUUGACUUGUUUUAUAAUUUUUUCUAAAACUAAAUCAGCCAUGUAAACUGGCAAAAUAAUCUAUUUACUUAUAUGCAUUUUUUUUUUAAAUUUAAAUUUUCGAAUUUUGAUUGAUACUCUCCAUUGCCAGGCAAAAUCUGUUCGCUUUUUAUUUUUUAAAAUAUAUUAUUGGUGUGUGUAAAAUGACCUGUUGGGUUAACAUAACAAUUACCUUGUCAUGCUUGAUUGGAUGUCUUUCUACUCAGAUUAUGUAGUCUUUUGACUCAUCUAAUGUGUAGAAUUUUUUCCUCUCUUUUCUUUUUGUUUUUUUUUGCUUUCUAUUCGUAUAUGUACGAUCAAUCUAACAACUGUAUUUAACUAUAGAAUCUCAGUGAAAUUGCAUGGAAUGAAAUGGAAAUAAAAAUAUGAGAGUUCAUACUUAUAAAAAUUCAAAUUAUCCAUAAAAUGAAAAGAGUGAAAAAGAAAAAGAUACAUUGCACCUAUUAAGAAAUUACGAGGCUAAUGGAUCAAUUGGCCUAGAAAGGUAUACCACAAUAAGAAGCUAAUUAAUUGCACAAAGUUGCAGUAACAUAUGAAGAAAUAAAUAGUGCUUUCCACAUGAGGGAAAAGACAUCAUAAGCAGCAAAGCCUUCGAAAGUAGAAGCUUCAACUUGAGGCUUCUGCAAGCAGGAUUACGCUUUAUAAGCAAGCAAUUGUUCGUGUACUGCAGUUUGCAAAAGCUUCGGUAGAGCAAGCCUAAAGCAACUGGACUUACAGGCUCCGGGCCAUUUGGUACGCAAAAUUGAAUAUGAAUAAGAUUAGAUAAGAUUAGAUAAGAUGAGAGAGAGAGAGGGAGAGGGAGAGGGCGCAAGUCACAACAACUAUAUGAUUGUCUCGUGGUUUAUAAUAGAAUUCUCGUCUCCAAUCCUAUCCAAUCUCAACCUCUUAGGUGGGAGUUGAUGCCCUAAUCUCAGCAUCAUUUUUUGGUUCAAUCAAAUUCAAAAGUUAUGAAAAGCCAAAUCUUGGACAACUCCUCUUGAUGUCUCUCUCUCUCUCGCGCGCGCGCUUUUACUCCUUCUCCGGCAUCUCUCUCCUCUCUUAUUCUAUUCAAUCCAAACAGAACUGUCUGCACAGGGACAGGAGAAUUCAUCUUUUGACGUCAGUAGGUGUUAAGACUUAAAGAGUGGAACAUUCAAUUUGUUGGCAAAGGGCUCUUACUUUCGGCCAACAAACCACAUGCAUCCACUAGCCAUUUGGUCCUCAAAUCCUAUUUUCUGAAACCUUUUUAUCUUCUUUUCCUAUUGAUAAUUAAAGGUUCCUAGAACCUAUAUGGGGACAUCUACUGAUCUACGCAAGCUUGGGAAUAAUUUUCUUGUUUCUUUUGUUACACUAAUCAGAAAAAAAAAAAAGAAGUGUAAAGGCAACAAAUACAAAAAAGAAAAAGCCACUGAAUUUAAAGCUUUCUACAAUUUCUUAAUAUGUUUGGCUAUUUCCAUAUAUAUAUAUACUUUGUCCACUCUUAUUUACUUGUGCAUAAACUGAAUAAUACGUGCGAUGCUAAUCGGCCAAUUUCAUUUAAUUGUAAGUAAACGGAAUUGAAAAGUUACGUAAAACAUACUCUUUUAUUAGUUUUGGCAUUUCCAAACGUGACGAACAUUUUUUAUACACUCAUUGCAUUCCAUGUGACUCAAGUUCCCAUGAAAUUUUUGUUUUUGUUUUCCCCUUUUGAGUAGAGACUCAGCUUCCCAUACUUUAUGGAAAGGAUGAGUGCUCUUUCCUUCUUUUUCAUUGAUAAUUUGUUUGAUGAACUGUUAAAGCUACAAGAGAGAAAUUCCCCUCUCAAAAGUGCAAAGAUUGAAAGAGAAGAGAUGAGUACAAGUUACUAUUAUAUAUACUUAGUGAGAGAAGAAUAAAUUCAAAUUACAAGAUGCACGACUACACAAUAUAGUUUUUAACUGCUAACAGUUAUUAAGAACAUUUUUUUUUUUUUAUCUCUGCACAAUAUACUAAUAGAUUAUCAUACAUACAUUUCAUUUUUUUUUUUAAUAAGUGCUUUUGUUGUCUUGUAGCAAAAUGGAGGUUUGAGUCUUGGUUUCUUGUUAUAGAAACAAGAAACAAGAAAGUACAGCAUAAAGCAUGGCCAAGAGAAUCUAAGUAGAAAAUAGCAUGCAUGUAUGCACAAAAUGACAUUUCAAAGACCAAAAAUGUCCCACAAUAGAACUGUAAUUAGAAGCCAUUAUAUAUAUAUAUAUAUACACACAUACAUGCAAGUUUACAGAGUUUGGAUAGGAUCCAAGUCACCAAAAUAUAUAGUACACACCAAGUUACACUAAUUGUUUGGAGUAAUCCACAAGCUAUUACACACUACUUAACUAAAAUGGUGGGGUUUAAUUACUUUACAAAAAGGAAGAGGGUCAUUCCAAAGAUCCCAUACAUAUAUAUUUAUAUAUAUAUUGUUUGACCUUUUCCAAUUCUAUAGUUUGAGCCCUCACAUGGCUUGUUUUGUGCCUAGCUCCUUCGGGGGCCUCACAAAAAAAGUGCUCUUUGGAAAAGCAGCUCCUAGCUACCAAAUAAGCUUUUGGAAUAUAUAUAUAUAGUCCAACUAUGGUAUUUGUAAAAGCACCAAGCAUUUGGUGUUUGUAAAUUUUUUACCGUUAGAUUUAUACCUUUGAUCAUUUUUAUCCGUUAGAUUAUACUAUUCAACCAACCACUCACUCAACCUUAGGGGGCAUACAUCAUCCUAACUGCACAUCCCUUAAUCCAAGGGUCGAAAACUUACAAGCACCAAUAAUUUGGUACUUUUAAAAACAUAGGAGUUCAAUUUUAUAUAUAUAUAUAUAUAUAUAUAUAUAUAUAUAUAUAAAAUUGAGCUAGAAUACUUUUACAAGUAUCACCCCUUUAGUGUUAUUAGGUUUUUAGCCCUUGGAUCUACUCCUUGAUUACUAAUAGCCCUUGGAUUAAACACUAUUCCACCUACCACCACCUACCACCAUCAUCCUAACCCUACAUUUCUCUAUCCAAGGGUUAAAAACUCACAAGCACCAUCCUCUUGAUGCUUUUAGAAGUAUUCUAGCUCAACUAUAUAUAUAUAUAUAUAUAUAGAGUGAGGCUACUAUGCUAUCGGAAGCACGGAGCCUUCCGUGCUUCUAGCUCGUUUUCGAUGUUGCGACUUUCGAAUCGUCGAUCGGCUCCGUUAAACUUGAUCUAGAGUAUUUGGAGUACCUAGAAAAUAAAUUUUAUUAUUUUUCGAUAUCAUUUGCCUAGUGAUGACAUGAUCUCAAAAUACAACACAUUUUAAAGGGUGCCGUAUGAGGCCGUUGCAAAUUUAAACGGUAGAAUAUUCAAAUCACGUGAAAUUUUAUAGAAAUAUUCUUUAUACUAUAUAAAACAGAUCACAAUUUUGAUUAAAAUUUUAAUGUCAUAUUAUUACAGACAUGUUUGUAAGAUCUUUUAUUUUCACCGUUGAUUUAAGUCCUUCUUCACUACACACACCACACACGAAACAUAAUCAAUUUUAUUUCUAUGUACUAAUAUGCAACAAAUACCUAAAAUAGUUUAAACAGAAGCCUCGCACGAUGUACGAGGGGAACGCAGACAUCUGGGAAAACCUGAAGCUGGAAGCACGGAGCAGGCUCCGUAUUCCGAUGGCAUAUGUAGGCCUCACUGCACUAAUAUAAUAUAUAGGUAGUGAAUAGUGAUAUAUAUAUAUAUAUUCAAUAUAUAAUUGAUAUAUAUAGAGUAAUGGUGUACAGAUAUUUAGCACAUAUAUAUACGUAACGAGUAGGGCUAACGUGGCAUUGAGACACAGCAACCCUUAUGCUUUAAACUUCUAACGCAGCGACAGCAGUGCACAGUUUGAUGUGUAAUGAAGAGACGAGAGGCUAUAGGUGACAAAAGAAACUUGGGUGUUUCAAUUAUUCUACCUCCUUUAGAAUUCUCUCAAUAGUCUCUUCCUCUCUCAUUCUAACCACCCCAUUCAAACUUGAAUGAUGGUUAGAAUUUUAGGUAUCACAAUGCUACGCUUUGCUCUAAUAGCACACAGUAGGCCCUAACUCUCCGUUCUCUCUCUCUAUAAAUAAUAAUAAUAUAUAGUGUAUAAUAUAUAUAAUAUACUGUAUAUAUAUAAUAUAUAUAUUACUAUAUAAGUAUAUAUUAUAGUUAUGGAAGGUCAGGGCCUGCUGAUUGACUCACAUCAGGCAGCACUGAGUGCCUCCGUCGCUGCUGAUAUGUUUCGAGAUAUGGAGAUUAUUUCGAAUCUAUGAUGCGUGCUCCGUAGACUAUAGUUCUACGCCGAUUUGAAGUUUCCUAGGGAAAAUAAUUUCGAUAUAUUCCGCAUAUUCAUAUUACCGUAUAUCGAAAGAUUCAAAAAUCUAUCCAUAUUUUUAAUGUUAAUAUCUGGCCGUUUCCAUUAACGGUGAUAGAAUAAUCAAAUUAGAUGAAAUGUUUAUAGAAAAUUUUUAUACUAUCUACAACAAAGAUCUAUAGUUUCUAUGAUCGAGAUAAAUCUUACGUGCCGGGAUAUGCCCGCCCGGACUUUUUUAUAGGAGUCUCUUUGUAUUGCAGCCGUUAAAAAUUAUGAUUUGAAUACUUAUCGAUGCUAGUAAAUAAUAUCCGAAAAAUCGCGCUAAAAAUUUAUUUUCAUAUAAAACUUUAAUAUAACCUAAGAUCAACGUUUAAACGAAGAAGGGAGACAGGACGGCCAUCGAUCGUGCGAUAGUUCGACAAGUCGCAUCCUCGAAAGAAUCCGGCUUCGACACGAGGUUCUCUCCGGUACUCGCGUGGAGUAGGCAUACAGCAUGCCCCGUGGUAUCCGUGAUAAUAUGUACAUAUAAUGACUACAUAUAUGUAAUAGCAUAUAUGUAAUAUAUACACUUAUUAUAAGUCAUAUAUAUAUUAUAAUAUUGUACAUAAAUAUGGUACAUAAUUCGUAGUUUAAGGUAUACGAGGCAUAGUGUACUCAUUAAAUAGUGUAUUAAGUUAUAUAGUUUGCAGUUAUAGUUACAUAGUAUACUUUGGUACAUUAUAGUAUCAGUAUAGUACACAAUACCCAUAUAGUUAGCAUAAAUAGUAGCCAUACAUAUAGACAUAAUAUAUACAUACAUAUAUUACAUGUUAAUAGUAUGAGAGUACAAUGUAGAGCAUUUAUAUAUAGACGUAUAUCAUAUAUGUAAAUAUAUAGAUGUAUAUAUCAUUAUACAUAUAUAAAGUAUGUAUAGUAUAUAUAAUAUAUAUUGUAUAUAUAAUUACAUAUAUUAUUGUAUAGUAGGUUAUAAUGAUAGGUUAUUAGCUAUAAUAGCUUUAAUAUACCAUAGAGGUAGCAGAAAGUAAGCAUGCUACUCAUUAUACGUAAUUGGGUGCUUUAUGACUCAUGUAAUUUGUUCAAUAGAUAGCUUUCGAUGAUCGACGAUCCAUUCUCCGUUAAUAGAUUUAGAGUAGUUAUGUGUCGACGUGGCCCCGGCGGGGCAAGAGCUAACGAAGCGCCGCGUGGCCGGGGUCACGUUGCUCUCUAUACCCCAUUGGGUGUGGGGGCUGUCUAAAAGCGCAUAGAGCGUCUAACAGUACUAAUAGCAAAUGAAUAAAAUCAAUAUCAAAAGCAUCUUAACAGAGUACAGAGCAUAUAAAUGUCUAACAAUGACUGGUACGUCAUAGAACAAUAAGGAUAAAAACUAUAAAAUCCACUAAAUAAGACAUGUAAUAAGGGGCGGGGGGGGGGGGGGAAUGGGAGCGGGGGGACUAAGAGGCAAUCGCCAGAAUACAAGGCUAAAGAGUGGUACAUUAUGGGUCUCCGCUACACAUGGAUGAGCAAAAAAUCGUAUCUCUCUGCACUGAAAAGGGAAGUAGAUAAAGCCACCAGGAGAGUGUAGUCGGGGGGGCGUCCUCGCGCUAGCGUACUGUACGGCUGAGCUCCGGGGGGGGGGGCAGCGGCGCCCGGCCUUGGCGCGCUAUCCCGGUGGUGGCCUCGCCGGAGUUCGUGUGACGAAGCUACUGAAAGGAUAAUAUAAAACAGGGUGGAGUAGCUAUAAGAUGAAACUAUCUAAGGAUAUGAGUUACCAGUGUGGCAAUUACUACAGACUUCAGUGAACACCAAAAGGAGGCCAAAGCUACAAUAGAUUCAGACUAUAACUGUUAGGAAAAUGAAAGGCAGUAAAAUAUGUAGCAUUACUACAACAAAUAUCCUACUUAUAUUAAAAUAGAUAACGAUAUGAAAAUUAAUGAGACCUCAGAAGUGAAAGAUUCCUCCACACAGCGUAUCAAUGAAUGUUAACGACGGCAGCAAUGAAACUGACAAAAUAGAAAAUUUCCGUCAUAGUUACAAUUCUAGUCAAAUGAAAUCCUAAAUAAUACUGAGGCUAAUGAAAGCGACAAGCCAAAAGACAACAUCUGCCAUCGUUCGCCAUGUCAUGAUAAGGAUACUCAAGUCAAAUCUGAGAGACACACCCGAAGCAGUCAAAUGACAGCACUGAACCCACCCGUAGGCUUCUGGCCGGCCGAGCAUAAUGGCACACGUCGUGUAUCAUCAUCCCACCCAAUAGAAUACCUAUCCCUAACGGCAAUCACUUCGGCGCCCAAUCAGCACGGCCGAAUAUGAAUCGUCUAGAUGAGCAUCUCCCAGGAUCCGCUUGAGGAGGCACAUCAUCACAACUGUGCGAAUGAUCACAAUGCAAAUAUCAAACGAUCAUCCAAGUACCAUCAAAUUUCUCAUGUCUCAGUAACUGUAUAAUAGGCAAAUGUCCUCGUCCAAGUCACUAUCUUAAUCAUAUCUCAAAUUGAAUAUAUUGAAUGUCAAUGUGGCCUAUUAUCAAUCCUAUGUUGCAUAUAGUUUAGUAAUUCUCCUAAGCCAAGUCUCAUUUAUGACACUCAUGGCUCAACUUCUUCCCAACAUGAUAAUAAGUUCAAGAUCAUAUAAUGUCUAAUCCAAAAUCGAAAGCAUAAACUUUAUUUCCUUAUAUCAUCUCAUAGAGUAAUUCAUCGUAUCAUAUAACAAAGACACAAUUUUUUUCUCUCUACUAUAUAGAAACUUUCUUAUGACAUAACAUAUGAGUUCUAGAGAUUCAAAAUAUUCCAUAAAUCUACAAACAUAUAUGCCAUGAAUUUGAAGAAGAAUAGAACAAUUUAAACACACUUAGGAGGAAUUUCCCCGAUUCAAGGAAGCCGAAACCCACCGAAAAGAAUCGACUUCUUCGUUUCGCCGAACCAAGAUAUCCACAAGAUCCCUAGAACAAGACGGACUCAAACGUGGAAAACCCCUUUUCCCAUACCUCAAAUGGAAGGUAGACGUGUCUACACAAUUAACCUAUUUAAAAAGUCAACACAUUCAAAAUGAGAUCAGAAAGCCUCAAAUCCAAAAACCCCCCAAAUAAACCCUAAAUACCAAAAUCUAGGUUCAUACUAGUACAGACCUAAAAUACAUGUAUUAAAAUGGGAUUAGUAGAGCUAUAACCUCAAGAAAGCUCCAAUCCAAGCUCAAAACCAAGUAGUGGUUAGUUUGAUCUGUCAACAACCUGAGAAGCUCCACCCGUGAAAUGAAAGCCAACCAAAGUGAGAAAUAGAAAAGUGAUGCUGUCACAAUCCUCUAUGCAAGCUCUAUCACUACUUCUUCUAUCUACCCUCUUUUUCUCAACGUCCCUUUCUCUCUCUCUAGAAAGGCAAAAUGGUGAAGUGAGAGAAUAUGAUAAGGACGCAUGCAUACUAAGCCUAUCUCUUUAAACAAUCCAGCUAGCCUUCUCAAAAAUCAAUUUAUAACACGCCGACUGGGCAUUUUCCUAGCCCAAGAGCGGUCUACUCCCAAGCAGAUCGUCUCCAAUCGCUGCGAAACGAAACCGAAAAUCCAGAUUCGAGAACCACGUCUCUCCACUGUCGAGGGACCGGUCACUCAAUCACACUAGAUCGUUGUGCGAACGCGCCGGAACCGUCUCAAGCUGCCAGCGACCGUUGCCUCACGACUCGCCAGAGCACACUGUUCAACUGGAGCAACCCGAGUCUCUCCUUUCCAAGAGAACCGUCCCAGAAGUAAAAACUCUCACGACUCGUCAAAACAUCCAUCGGUAGAUCAAACUUUGAGACCACGUAUAAUACCAUUGACGGCCUGACCCCAAGUGCUGGAACGGGUUCGGAAAUACCAUCCAAACACUCGAACCAUCGCAAUUUACAAAGGUCCAGUGCGUUACAAUUUGAAACUUCUAGAAAAUAAAUGUCCAGUAAUUUUUCGAAAUCAAAUAAUUCCAUUCAAGCAUGCAUAAAAUGAGAUGUCAAGAUCAAGACACUCUUGAAUAUAGGAUGAUCGGAUCCUUCAAUUUAAUAUCGAAUUAUGAUUAUCUGAUAUGAAUAUAAUUUUCUAUCAAAAAUUUAACCUAUUUGAUUUUCUUUUGCACCUUUAAAACUAGCAAGAAUUCAAUACCUAGGCCGCGUGCUAAAAAUUGUCAAUGUUUGUGAGCAUUUUGAAUGCUGUAAAGGUAAAUGAUGUUGAACAUUUAUGAAAUUGAUUAUUUCUAGAAGUUUUGAAAUGCUCUAAAAAAAAAUAAUUUACGUAUGGAUCCGUCGAUUCGUAAAGCUCUAGUCAUUGCAAAACUACUUAUUGAGUACAGAGCGAUCCGUACUCAUUAAAAAGGACCAAAAAAGUAUAAGUAUCGGACUAAUCAAUAUAUAAUAUAAAAUAUAUAUAUAUAUAUAUAUAUUAUAUAUUAUAUUAUUAUAUAAUAUGUUAAAAGUAGUGUGUUGCUAGGUGUUACUAUACUUUUAAUAGUAUAGACUGGUUUUUUGCUUAUAAAUUUUUGGACCGUAGAUAAUGGCAUAUACAUUAGAAUGAUAUUGGCCGCUGAAGCGUUAGAGAUAUAGUGUCUCUCUAGGGCUGACGUGAAUGGUUUGGGUUGAAUAGUAUGAAUCUAACGGUAAAAUAUGGUGAAAGGGAGAUAUAACGACUGAAAAACUUAAUGAAAAAAGAGAUUAUACUAAACAUCAGAGUAUGUAGCACGGACACGUCUAUCUCUUCUCUACAUAUAUAUAAUAUAAUAUAUAAUAUAUAUAUAUAGAUAUAUAUUAUAUAAUAAUAUACAUAUAGAUAUAUUAUAUAUAUUAGAUUAAAUAGGCCUCCGUGCUUCUAAGCCGUUUUCGAUGAUGGAGCUAUCAAAUCGACAAUCUGCUCCGUUAGACUUGAUCUAGCAUAUUUAAAGUAUCAAAAAAAUAAAUUUUGCGAUUUUUUGAUAUUAUUUACCUAGCAAUCGAAAGGGUUCAAAAUUAAUAUUUUUUAAUGAUUGAUGUAUAUCGUUUGCAAAUUUAGCGGUGUAGAAGUAUUCAAAUCAGAUAAAAUUUUAAUAGUAAAUUUUUGUACUAUUUACUACAAGAUCAAUAUCUCUAAUCGAAAAUUUUAUUGUUAUAUCACCACUUUUUAUGAAAUUUUUAUUUUCAGCCGUUGAUUUUGAAUCAUUUUAAUUGCUAGGUAAAUAAUAUCGAAAAACCGCAAAAUUCAUUGUCUAAAUACUUCAAAUACAUUAAAUCAAGUCUAAUGGAGCCGAUCGUAUAUUCGGAAGCUCCAUCAUAAAAAAUGGCUUAGGAGCACAGAGACCUCCAUACUUCUAAUAGCACACAAGACUUACUAUAUAUAUAUAUAUAUAUAUAGAACUAAGCUGGAAUACUAUUAAUAGCAAAAAUGACUUGGUGCUAUUAAGUUUUCUGCUCUUGGAUUAAAAGAUGUGCGGUUAGGAUGAUGUAGGCCCCUAGGGUUGAGUGGGUGGUUGGUUGAAUAGUAUAAUCGAAUGGAUGAAAAUGAUAAAAGAGGUAAAUUUAAUGGCAGAAAACUUGAUAGCACCAAAUGCUUUGUGCUAUCGAUAGUAUCCUAGCCGGACUAUAUAUAUAUAUAUAUAUAUAUAUAUAAGUACCAAUGACUUGGUACUUUUAAAAGCAUAGGAGCUCAAUUCUAUAUGAGUCCGGCUAUGGUGCUUGUAAAAGCACCAAGCACUUGGUACUUAUAAAUUUUUUAUCGUUAGAUCUACAUCUUUAAUUAUUUUCAACCGUUAGAUUAUACUAUUCAACCAACUACCCACUCAACCCUAGGGGGCCCAUAUUAUCCUAACCGUACAUCUCUUAAUCUAAGGGCCCAAAACUUAUAAGUACCAAUGACUUGGUACUUUUAAAAGCAUAGGAGCUCAAUUCUAUAUAUAUAUAUAUAUAUAUAUGGAGGCCCCGUCAGCUAUAAAUAUUUUGAGAUUGCCCUCUCAACUUUUUCUUUAUUUUUUAAAAAUUUUAUGGAAUUAAGUAAUUUUAGUCAAUUCUAUUGAUUAUAUCACUUUUUACCUAAUAAUUAAAACUAGACUAAUUAAUCGCUAACAACAAAUAGAGCAAUUAUAUUUAAUAAAAUUUAAUUAAAAAAACCAAAGACUAAAGCCUCAUUUGGUAUAAUAUUUAUUUUUUAUUUUUUUAAACACAGAUGCUAUAUAAUUUGAUGUAUUGGAAAAAGAAUUUUUUCGACUAAGUAAUAGAUGAUAAGUUAUUUAAAAAUUUUUUGAAAGUUAAAAAAGAAAUUAUUUUUAAAUUUUAAUUUUUUGUUAUCAAGAAAGCGGUUUGGAUGAAAAUGCUGUAAUUAAUUCACUGUCUACUCCCACACCUUUUGAUAUAUAAAAUUCUAUUUAGUAACAUAAAAAAAUAAACGUGAUGGGAGACGCGGCCUAAGAUGAUCUCAAUUAAAAAGGAAAAAAAAGUUGAGGGGACUUUUUCAAAACACCGUAUUGCUGGGGGGGGGAGUCUCCAUAUAUUUUUACCUAAGCUUUUCAUGCAACCUAGCUCCUGUAAUGAUUUGGGUCUAAAUAUUACUUAAUUUGCUAGAAAUGAAACCCCCCACAUCCUCCUCGUUAAUACAUUACUAUUUGAACCCAUGUACGUACCACAAAGCCAUCUUAAUUUAUGUAUAUAAGAUCCUUUUUUUUUUCUUUUUCCUUUUUUUGCUUUUUUUUUUUUUUUUUUUUCUUUCUCUAUNUCUCUCUCUCUCUCUCUCUCUCUCUCUCUCCCUUCUUGUCCAGCUCUUUCAUUGUGACAUGCUCCCACCCCUCUCUCUCUCUCUCUCUCUCUCUCUCUCUCUCUCUCCCUUCUUGUCCAGCUCUUUCAUUGUGACAUGCUCCCACCCCUCUCUCUCUCUCUCUCUCUCUCUCUCUCUCUCUCUCCCUUCUUGUCCAGCUCUUUCAUUGUGACAUGCUCCCACCCCUCUCUCUCUCUCUCUCUCUCUCUCUCUCUCUCUCUCCCUUCUUGUCCAGCUCUUUCAUUGUGACAUGCUCCCACCCCUCUCUCUCUCUCUCUCUCUCUCUCUCUCUCUCUCUCCCUUCUUGUCCAGCUCUUUCAUUGUGACAUGCUCCCACCCCUCUCUCUCUCUCUCUCUCUCUCUCUCUCUUUCUCAUGAAUAUGUAUACAUAUGCUUUUCCUACCUCUUUUUGUUUCAUUUAUUUGUCUUUUCAUGUGAAAUGAUCCACCACCACGAGUGAGGGUGAUGGGAGCACAUGGAUUGAUGGCUUAUCUAAAAAGAGACUCGCCAACUAACACAAUGGAACAGUGCUGUGAGAGAGAGAGAGAGAAAGAGAGUAACAAAGUUUUAGCAAAAGGGUUUCAAAGAGUAGCAAACCUUAAUUAAUCAUCUUUUCACCUUAUUAAUUGUAGGGAAACUUCAAAAAACUCCAUGUGGUUUCGCACUUUUUCAUUUUAGUACUCUAUGGUUUAAAGGUUAUCAAGUUAGUACCCUGUGGUUUCGCACUUUCUCACUUUAGUACUCUGUGGUUUAAAGUGUAUUGAGUUAGUACUCUCUGUGGUUUUAUUUUUGUAUCAAGUUAGUACCCCGUGAUUUUAUUUUUGUAUCAAGUUAGUACCCUGUAGUUUUUAAACCGCAGGGGUACUAAAGUGAGAAAGUGCGAAACCACAGGGUAUUAAAGUGAGAAAGUGCGAAACCACAAGCUACUAACGAUACACUUUAAACCACACGGUACUAAAGUGAGAAAGUGCAAAACCACAGGAUACUAAUUUGAUACACUUUAAACCACAGGGUACUAAAGUGAGAAAGAGUGAAACUACAAUGGAGGUAUUUGAAGUUUUCCCUUAAUUGUAUGAUCUUAUUAUCGACCAUACUUAUCACAGUUGGCAAAAAAUUUGAUGAUUAGGUUUACUGAAGUCCCAAGUAUGGAAUCUAGCUAGUUGCUUCACUUUUUUUGCUGAGUUCAUUUAUAAAGAAUAAAUGAAGCAAAUAACAUGAAUUAAUUUUUUUUUUUUUAACAAAAAAAAGUGUUACGACAAACGCACAAACGGAAACGAAAAUGAUGAACACGAAAUAAUCAAACCACAAACAGAAAUAAAAAAGAACACAUAGAUUUACAUGGAAAAUUCUUUGCAGGAAAAAAAUCACGGGCGAGGGAGGAGAGAACUUCACUAUCGAACGAAAAAGGAAAUACAAUGUUUAGAGAGUACAGCCGACCACGAUCUCAUGCCUCUAGGGCAAAAACAAAAAGGAAACUCUUAAAGAGUUUCGGAUCCGAUCUGUACUGCGGGGGGCCCCACCCCCCGCACCCCCCGGCAAAUGUCAGUGGUGGGCUACGUGCUCUGGCCUGUCAGCACAAGUCCUCCGCUACCCACUACAGACAUUUAUUUUUCCUUCAUAAUUUUAUUUUUCAAUUUGGUCACAUUGCGAAACUGUCGGCGAGUCAAAAAUCCAAACUUAAGUCGAUUAUCAAUUUCGAGUCACAUCUAACAAAAAGAAAUGAAGAAGAGAACUGUCUGAUCUUAUUUUUAUCGCAUCUCUUUGAUAUGAGAAGUAAAAGUUAGCUAGGGUUUUGGCAAAUGAGAAAUUUAAAGCACACUAUGAAGAAAAUUUUUGAAAAACAAAGUCAGCUAAAAAUGUAAAUUAAAGAAACUAGGCUUCGAACAUAGAACAUCGGAUAUCAAUUAUGAAGUCCUUAACCAAAGUUUUUAACCAACUAGGCUAGAUACAAUUGAUUUGUUGCUGUGGAGAGAAGUUAAAUGAACUUUCUUACCCAAAAUUUGAGACUCCAUUUUUUUUUUUUUUGAGAGAUAGGUAACACGCUAACCGUUUCGUUUGUUUCAUUUAGAAAUAAACUUAGCUGGAAAUGUGAAUCAACUAGGAUUCGAACUUGGGUCUCGGGUAUCAACUACCAAGCCCUUUACCACUUGCUCUAGGAACGGUCAGUGAGACUCCAAAUUUUUAAUUGAACGAAACGUAAGUGCUGACGAAACUCAAAGCAACUUGAAUGCCUUCCAAGUAAAAUUUUCCUUCAGUUGCUUGUUUUGAUAUAAUUAACCAAUAUUCGGAAAGUGAGUUACCAGUACUAUUAUUUGUUUUGAUGAACUUUUUAGUAUUGGUGAAACUCAUGAGUACUAACAAUUAAACUCAACAUGGUUUAUUUUGGGGUACUAAUUAUGUAAUAUUUCUUAAUAAAGGAUUAGUACAAUGUAAUGACUUUGGAGCUAUAGGCAGUAAAGUUAGUUAAUAAGAAAACUUGUCACUUAUACUAAAACAUAUUUUCUUCAUCCUCGUUUACGACAAUUCAAACAUACCCUUAUUAACGGAAAAGGUGAUAACUAAAUCAUACCCUUAUUAUUAUUAUUUUUUUCAAUCUCCUUUAUAAACUUUGGAAUUUAAUAGGCAACUUAAUUAUAGAGUUGAAAAUUUCACGUAAGCACGCCACUUCAGAUAAAAUAUUGAAUCUAUUGUGAAUAUUUUUAUACCAUAUGCUACAAUUUGUAGACAAUAUUUAUAUAUAUUCCUGAAAUUUUCAUGUAAGCUUUAAUUAGCGUCAAAAGCUAAUUAAUUUAAAAUGUUAUUAUUGUAAUUAAUUUAUUGUUCGUAAUUUUUAACUUAAUCAGUCUGUUCUCAUAUUUCUAGCUAGCUAAUUGCGAAAAUUUUAUCUUAAUUAAGUUUGUUGUUCCUAAGGUUUAAAGAUUAAUUGAUUAAUUCCUGGUUACUUAAAAAAUGAGGCUAAUGAUAGAAACUAUUAAUUUCUCUGCCAAGAGGAAUUGGACAUCCUAAAUUACUUAUUAGAGAGAGAAAACAAAUUGAAUUAAAGCAAGGAUUCGUAUUAUUAUUAGCAUUACCCAAUAAACACAACCAAAUAGAAGCCAAGAAAAGGCUUAUAAUUAAUUAAUGUAUGUACCCUCAACAGUAGGCUAUUUUUAUAUGGUCCCAUCAACUUACAACUUUUUAAUUGAGACAUUCUCAAUCUUCAUCAAUCUUUUGAGACUAAGGAAUUUAGUUAAAUAAAUUAAAAAUUUAUAAAAUAUGUGAUGAUUUUAUCAAAUUGAAUAAUUUAACUAUUUUUAGCAUAUAAAAUUGAAAUAAUUCACGGUUAACAGCUAAUAGAACUCUUAAAUAGAAUAGCUCAGUAUUUUAAAAACCAAAAUUUGAAAAAAAAAAUCUCAAUAAGGAAAAGUUAACCUUGAGGUAAAAAUUUCAAAAUGCCCUAUAAUUUUUUUUUUCUUUUUUUUUUUUUUUUAUUUUUGCGAGAAAGAUAGCAUAUAUGCUACCAAAGUUAGAAACGUGAAGCAAUUAGACUUCGAACUUGAAAUCUCAGAUACCAUCCAUCAAGCAUAAAAAAGUGUUUAGCCAACUAUGUUAGGUGGAAUCAGUUGAGCAGAGUGUCCAUAGUUUUUUUUCUAGAGAAAGACAGUAUGCUACCCACUUCGUUCAUUUUACAAAAAUAAACUCAGUUACAAAUAUAAAGCAACUAAUUUUUGAAUUUAGAAUAUCGAAUACUAAACAUCAAGUUUUUAGCCAACUGCGUUACGUUCAGUCGGUAGGAGUAUUACUCCAUAGUUGAGGAGAGUGUCCAUACAUAUAUAUAUUAACAAUGACAUAUUAAUCUGGGAACAUGAAGGACUUAGGUGCAUGAACUGACAUGUUUUGGAGAAACUAUGACAUAUUGACAUGCACCAAUCAAGUGAGCAAUAAUUAUAACCUUUUCCUAAAGGGACCAUCCUAGUCUAGAGAAGACAAUAACCUAAUUAUAUUGGUGUUUUUAGGGAGAAAGAAUAUUGUCCCUUGUUCCUAUAUGACUACAGAACUAGACCAUCUCUGACAUGCUUCCACCUUCUUGUUUGAUUUGAUCUCUAAUUCUCAUCGUAAUUAGAAUUCGGAUAUUUGAUAAAUAAAAAUUACUAAAAGAGUUUCUACUUCUAACUUCAGUAUAAAGCAGUUUAACAGCUCUUACUUUUCUAAAAAAAUAAAGUUUUUAAUAGGUUUUCAUAAUAAAUUUAUUAAUUAUCUUUGACUAAUAUUUUGCAAAAUGACAUUUUUCACUUACAGAAAACACAAGUUCAAUAUAAUUUAGAGCACACAGAUGCAUGUAUGGAGAUAUAGCCUUCGAGCGUACCAAAAUAUUGUCAACUUUAAUUUGUCUUUAUUUUGUAUAUAAAUACUUCAGAUAUUCGUCGCGUUAAAAUCUAAGUCUUCUAGAGGUCAAAAAAAAUUAUUUUUAAUUUCCACUCUAAUUAAAUGAAUUUUAUAAUUUUGUGUUCUUGGAAUAUGGUGACAAGUAUCCAUCGGAUUUUACAAGCAGUCAUAGAUCGAUGUAAAAUUUUCGCUCUUUUUUCCUUUUCCUCCUAAAAAGCAAAUUAAGGUGCUAUUGCCAAUACAUGAAUAUUAAAAAUUUUAGUACAUAUAUCAUCCAUAAAUAAUCUUCAGUUUAAUUUACAUUAUUAUAAGUUUCAAUUUCAUUGCAAUUAAUACAAAUAUAUUUGUGUCCUUAAAGGAUAAUUAUAAUUGUUUAAUUUUACGAGUCCAUCCAAAUUAAACAGGCAUGUAAUGAUAGUUCAGUAUCAAUAGCAUCAAACACCUCCUAAGUUGACCUCUAUUUUCUUGCCCCAUCGUAAGAGACAUGAACAAAGGACGAUUCUAUAUAUAUAUAUAUACACACACACAUGUACUAUAUAUUGUGGAACCAGUUAAUUAACUUAAUUGAUUGAUUAAUACUUGGCCUUAAUUCUUUGGUGUCACGUUCAAAUAUAUAUGUGGGGGUCAUUUCACUUUUGUGCAUAUCCAUCAAUUCAUCUGCCAAAUGGUGGUUUGAUAGAACUUGUUCCCUUCUUACACUAAUUAAUGAUAGGUCAAGAUCACACAUUUCUGAUCUGUUUCACACUUGAAACUGAAAAGAAUAUAAAAAAUAACAAUUAUCUUUUUUUUUUCUUGGAGAGUAAUGCUAAGGGUACCCUUAAAAGGCGUUUAAAAAUACAGUUGAAAAGUAAGAUUUUAAGGUGGUAUAUGGGUUUAGGAAUUUGAAUAGUUGGGCGACUACGUACUUUAAAUAUCUUUGGCCAUGUACAUGGAGAAGAUAAGACAGGUUGAAAGGGAAGAAGCACAAGAACGAAAGGAAAUGUUACAUGAAGAAUCAAUAAUAAAACAAAAAUAUUAUUAAUCAACUCUCAAUAUCUGAUUAUAUUAACCGAAUGCCAUAUCUAUAUACAGAGGCAUUACGGUACCUAAAUCAUACUAGACGAAGAUAAUAAAUUUUAAUAUAUCUCUAAACCUAAUUAGAUUAGAAAUAAUCAAAUAAUCGGACUAAAAAUAGAAAAAAAAAAAUACAGAGCUUUUCAGAAAUAGCCUAAAAAUGCACAAAUGGAGACAGAAACAAUUGAAUUUGAGCCCUUAUAAACUCGAUCGAAACAGCUAUUCAACGAGUAGAUCUCGAAAAGUAUUUUUCGAAUUGCGGUUGCCCACUGAAAUCGAAUACUCGAGCUAAAAGUUAUGGCCGUUUAAAUAUUUUUCGUAGUUAAAUCGCCUAUUUCCAAAAACUUUAAUGCUAAAUAAGCAGAGCGCAUCAGUAAAAAAAAAAAAAAAAAAAAAAAAAAUUAAAAUAACAAAGGUAAAAAUUUCAACCUUUGGUAUGGAGGGGUCUCUAUUAGACCUGAUACCAUGUAGUCAAACAGUACAUCUGAUCGAUAGAUGAUGUCUCAAGAAUAAUCUGAACAUUUGGGACAUUCUGAUCAUGUUAUCCAUAAGUUGGCGAAUCAAUGCGUUAAGCCCUCGAAUCAAACGGCUUAUAACGUCCGACAUACGGUGCUUCGAGGCGGUCCAUCAGAAUGGACGGUCGCAAUCGACUCGAAUCUGACAAACCUGGUUGGCACAUCCAAAAUACCACAAGUUGUAUGACUACCAGGAUACAGACCAACACAAGCUCCAAAACCCUAACCCUAAUUGUUUGUGUACGAACACAGUCGAUCGAGUCCGAUCGAUGCUACUUCUACUUGUAAUAUAUGCAGCAACAACAGUUUGUGUCCAAAUUUGAACAUCUCUGUCGACGAUGGCGACGGUCGAUCGACAAAGGGGUGUGGGCGUGGCCCAGUUUCAAUUGGAUGGUCGUGAUCCGUUUCGCGACCACAGACAAGAGCCAAGAAAAAAACCGAAGUGAAACAGUACUACAUUGUGGUCCUGAUGCUUGGAAGAUACCAGUUUUCGCCCACUUCGGAGAGAAACACAUCCAAAUAAACUGUUUGUGAUCUGUAAAAGAUAUUAUGUAUACAUUACAUAUUGAUUUGUUAAUAUAUUAACCUAUAUAAUGUUACAAUAUACGUACGUUAAAGGCUUUUAACUGAGUGAUGCAUGCAUACACUCUAAAAAUAUCAUUCUAAAAUUAAGAAAACCAAAGUAUUUUUCUUAAUAUUAUGCUUUAAAUAAAUCUUUAUUUUUAAUUAGACGUAGUCGUUUCAUGUAAAUAUAUAAACUAUUUUGAAUAUUGAUUUUUACAAUUUUUUUUUUUACUUAAAAUUUUUAUAAUAAUAAUCUUAAAGGAGAUAGCAUGCUAAAUCUUUUGUAUAGUGUGGCGAGCAUCUAAACGAACUUGGCUCACAGCUGAUGUGGUAGGCCCGGUCCACCAAGUAGUAUGCGACCCAGUGAGCCCAUUGAGGCCCAGCCUGUUAUCUAAUAAGGUGGUGGGGCCCAGCGCAUCACCCGGUGUGCCAACUAGAACCACCCCAAAGUGGUGGGCCCCACUUUGCCGCCCACUCAAGAAAAGCUCUGACACCGCCACGUGUAUCCCAGGCUUCGUUUUGGCCUUACGUGGGCAAAUGGGACAAACCCGGUCUACGGGGUUUCGAACACUGAAAAAGGCGACGAAUUAUAAAAGCGUGGACCCGGUUCACCAUAUUAGCCAAGAACCAGAACGUAAUAUUCGAUCAUGGAGCUCUUAUUAUUAUAAUAUUUAAAACAUUUAAAGGUACGGGAUGUGACCUGUAACUCCUUAAUAUUCCUCUUAUUAAAAGAUAAACGUUUUUAAGAAAUUAACGCAUAUUUACGUAUUAAUUAACUAGUCCCAAAAAUUAAUAUUAUGCUUAAUUAUUAGGUACGCGCGAAAUAGGUUGUAGACCUUUACAAGUUUUUAGAACACAUCAAAUGAAUUGAAUAUAUCGAGUAAGAAAACAUAUAUUUUCUCCCUUAGCAUAAAUAAUUAAUGAUAUCAUAUGCUAUAAUUAUUGAAUAUAAAUAUUACAAAUACUAUUCUCUAAUAAUUGAAACUAUUAAAAAUAAAUAAUUAUUUAAAAUAACUUAAUAUGAUGUCAGAUGAAAAUCUCGAGUUGAAUACGAAUAUGAAAAAAAAAAAAAAAAAAACCAUUUUCUGACACAGCUACGAAUGGAAUCUAAACCCACCAAUAUAGUUAAGUGGAACCUAGACUAAGCAUUAGAAAUUAUCAAUUUGAGAACAUUUGAAUACUAGACAGCUAACAUCAUAAAAUCAUGAAAAAACUUUAAAUAUCAUUUAUGUGGUUUCACUCGUUCUCAUUUCAUUACCUUGUGAUUUAAAGUAUAUUAAUUUAGUGCGUGUGAUUUUAUUUUUAUCUUUUUAUUAUCGAUUUUAUUAAUUUUUUUUGUUAAAUUAGUGGCAAAGUUAAAACCAAAGGGUAUUAAAAUGAAUAUUUGAUAAAUCUAAGUGGGAUAUCUGAAAUUUUUUGUACAUAAUUUAACAAAAUAUUAACAGAGAUGUUGACGAAAAGAUAAAAAUGAAACCGCAGUACACUAGCUUGAUACACUUUAAACCACAUAGUACUAAAGUGAGAAAAUGCGAAACCACAGGGGUCGUAUUUGAAGUUUACCCUAAAAUCGGUGGUAUUUGAAGUUUACCCUAAAAUCAUGAAAUUUAAAAUAGUAUAAAUCAAGCUUAACGGUACCGAUUAUCGAUUCAGAUGGUCCAAUCGCCAGAAACAAUACGAAAGUAAGCAGAAAGCCUUUUUUUUUAAAAGUAUUCUAGCUUAACUUUUGCCAUCUCACAAAAUUGAUUUAUUUAAUGUAUUUUCGUGAAACAUGGAUCAGAAGCAUAACAGAAUUGGUGCUUCCAACUUUUUGAUUCUUAGAUCAACCGCUUUGGCAAUUUUUAAUUUUUGGAUGAUCACUCAAUUCCAAAGGAACUACUCAAUCCUGAAGAAGACCAUUAUUAUCUUGACCCUACAAUUCUUGAUCCAAGGGCUAAAAGGUCAGAAGCACAAACUUCCUUAUAUUUUUGAUAACAUAGUAACUCUACAUUAUAUAUAUAUAUAUAUAUAUAUAGAGUUCGGUUACUAUGCUAUUAAUAGCACGAAGCGCUUGGUGCUACCAAGUUUUCGGCCGUUAGAUCUACCCUUUUUAUCAUUUUCACCCGUUAAAUCAUACUAUUCAACCAACACCCACUCAACCUUAAGGGGCCCAUAUCAUCCUAACCGCACAUCUCUUAAUCCAAUGGCCAAAAACUUGGUAGCACCAAUGAGUUGGUGUUAUUAAUAGUAUAUUAGCCUAGUUCUAUAUAUAUAUAUAUAUAUAUAUAUAUAUAUAUAUAUAUAUAUAUAUAUAUAUAUAUAUAUAUAUAUAGAGAGAGAGAGGAGAGAGAGAGAAGAGAGAGUAGAGCAGCAGGAGACGAGCUUGUAGAGCAGAUGGAGACCAGAGGAUGAGAGAGAGAGACACUAGGCGACUAUACUAUCGGUAGCACGGUAAGGCUCCGUACUUACCAAGUUGUUAUUCGAAUGAUAUGGCUUCCAAUGAACGACCGGCUCCGUUAGACUUGAUCUACACUAUUAAAAGUAUUUAGAAAUAAAUUUCAUUAAUUUUCAAUAUAUUUUUACCUUAUCAAAACAAGUAGUCUAAAAAUUGAAUGUUGAAAUAAAAAUCUCACAAAAAAAUGAUGAUUAAAAGAUUUCAAUUCAAGAUCAGAUAUACUGAUCUUACUCUAAAUACGUGAAAAAAAUUUUCUUAGAAAUUUUAUGCAUUCUGGAUUGUUUUACACCGUUAAACUCACAAACACAGCCACAUCGGCCAUUAACAUGCGUCAAUUUUGAGUCUUUUGGAUCACUACGUCAAAUGAUGUCGAAAAAAUCUGCAAAUUUAAUUAUCAAAUACUUUCAAUAGUGUAGUCAAGUCUAACUGACAAAACCUGAUUCAUCGAUUUGGAAGCCGCCAUCAUCGAAAUACAACUGGAUAGCACGGAAGCCCUCGUCGCUACCGAAUAGUUAUGAGUAGCCGGACAUAUAUAUAUAUAUAAAGAUAGAGAUGAGAGAGAGAGUGACACGUGAUCCGAGAGGGUUCCUAUGAGAGGAUGAGAAGAGAGAAUAGGCUGGUAUAAUUAUUGUUAAUGACGAAGGUCUCCGUGCCUACAAAGUUGUUUUUCAAUGAUGCGGCUUUUCAAAUCGAUGAUUCGGCUUUGUCAAAUUUUGAUCUAACAUAUUAAAGAUUGCGAAACUUAAAAUUUAUAAUUUUUUUAUUAUGUUGGCUUAGUGAUCAAAAGUCUCAAAUAUGACAUUUCAAUGGUAAGAUGGUGUAUGCGUUUAAAUUAAUACGCGGUUUAAAACAAUCUUUAAAUCUGAUGAAAUUUUAUAAGAAAAUUCCUUUCACUAUUUAAAGUAAGAUUAUAUAUUCUGAUUAAUUCAGUCUUUUAUUAUUACUUUUUAUGAUUUAUUUAGCGUUAUUUUAGUGACUACUUGUUUGUAGGUAAUUAAUGUCAAAAAUUAUGAAAAUUAGUUUUUCUCAUAUUUCAAUGUAUGGAUCAAGCUUAACGAACGAUCAGUCGCAUUUGAAGACCGCGAUGAUUGAUAAAACAAUGAGUAGCAACGGAGGCCCUCCUACCGGUAGUAUGCCAGACCUAGUCUCUCUCUAUCUUCUCUCUCUCUCUCUCUCUCUCUUCUCUCAUCAUUCUCUCUCUUAUAUAUAUAUAUCAAAUUAUAUAUAUAUAGUUUAUUAUAUAUAUAUAGAGCUAGGCUAGUAUAACUAUCGGUAGCACGGAGUCUUCUCGUGUACAAGUUGUUUCGAUGAUGCGGUUUUUCAAUCGUAUGAUCGGCUCCGUUAACUUGAUCUAUAUUAUUAAAAUAUUUGCGAAACUAAAUUCAUUAUUUUUCGAUAACAAUUUGACUAUGUGUCAAAAGGUCUCAAAAUUGACACCUUUUAAUGUUUGAUCUGGAUUGCGGUUUUGAAUUUAACGCGUAUAUAAAUAAUUCAAAUCUGAUGAAAUUUCCUAGAACAUUUUCUUCCACUAUUAGAAUAAUUUAGUACCUCUGAUCUUGAAUUCAGCUUCUUAUGAUCAUCAUUUUUUAUGAGUUUUUAUUUUUACACAUUUAGUUUUAGACACUGUUUGAUAGUGUAAAUAACUGUCGAAAAAUUUAUGAAAUUUAGUUGUUCAAUACUUUUCAAUUUAGUGUAAGAUCAGUCUAAAUGGAAGCGAUCAUGAUUUGAAGCUGCAUCAUCGAAACACAUUGGUAGCAGGCAGGGCCUCCAUGCCUCGGAUAGUUAUACCAGCAUCAGCUCUCUGCUCUCUCUCUCUCUCUCUCUCUCUCUCUCUCUCUCUCUCUUUAUAUAUAUAUGGCUACCAAGUUGUUUUUCAAUGAUGCGGCUUUCAAAUCGACGAUCGGCUCUAUUAGACUUGAUUUACAUUAUUGAAAGUAUCAGGAAACUAAAUUUCAUAAUUUUUUGAUAUCAAUUACCUAUCAAACGAGUAGUCUAAAAAUGAACGGCUGAAAUAAAAAACUCAUAAGAAAAUGAUGAUAAAAGAAUUGAAUUUAAGAUCAGAGAUACUGAUCUUACUCUAAAUAGUGAAAAAAAAUUUCUAUAAAAAUUUCAUCAGAUUUGGAUUGUUUUAUACCGUUAAAUUCACAAUCACAUCACAUUAACCAUUAAAAUUGUUAAUUUUGAGACCUUUUGAUCAGUAGCUAUGUAAUGUCGAAAAAUUAUGUAAUUUAGUUUUCAAAUACUUUCAAUAGUAUAGAUCAAAUCUAACGGAGUUGAUUGUCGAUUUGGAAGCCGUAUCAUUGAAAACAACUUCGUAGCACAGAGAUCUCCGUGCUAUCGAUAGUAUACCACCCUAGCUCUAUAUAUAUGUAAUUAAUAUAUAUAAAUUCGGCUACUGUACUAUCAAUAGCAUUACGCAUUUAGUGCUACUAAAAUUUUUACCUUUCGAUCUAUUUUUUUAAUUAUUUUUAUCCGUUAAAUCAUACUAUUCAACUAACCACUUUUUCAAUUCUAGAAGAUCAUUAUUAUUCUAACCUUGUAUCUUUUAAUUUGUAGACCGAAAACCAAUGUAAGCAUCAAUGACUUUAGGCUAUAUAUAUUAUUUUAUUUGAAGUAGGAGGCUUAAUUUGCAAUUACGUGGCCUCUCGCACGUGCAACAGCUCAACCGAAGUGGGGAAAGCGUUUCACUUUUUCCCGAUCUGCAUGAUCUUCUAACAUGCCUCCACUCGAUGCUGUCUCCUUAGUGGGCACGUGCGAGUGUCCCCGGAUUCGCACGUGAGCUCGGUGUAUGUGGGGGGGUGGGGGGGGUGUUGCGGGGGUGAAUAAGAUGCAUGAGAAUACGUAUAUGUAUAUAUAGAUAUAUAGAUAUAUAUCCAUCGCAUUGGGUGAAUGAGAGAGAGGGAAAAAAGAAAAGUGAAAAGAAACAAAAAACCCAUACGCAUUAUAAUUACUGAAGCACUUGUCAUUUUCUGCAUGCAAGGGUAGAGACAAAACUAAGAAGAGAGAGAUAAGAGUCAAAGGCCAUUUUGAUUUCACAUUUGAGCCAAAAAAAAAUGCAAUAUUGUGUUGAGUGUAUUAUGUAAUGAUUAUCUUUUGGGGUGGGUCAAUUUGUAGUUUAAUUUUUUUUCCUUCUUUUUUAUUGAGUUUUCACUUUCUCUUCUACACAUCAAUAAAUGUUUUUUUUUAACUUUUACUUAAUUUUAUU